rnacentral:lncRNA from 1 species
GAUUCUGGAUAUGAUUAUUAGUUUGUUUCUUGCGGAUGCAAAUGGUGUUGGUUUUACUACGCUUUGUGCUAAAUGCCGGUGAUUUCUUCUCAUCUGCACCUUGGUAGGCGAAGCCUGUCUGGUAUUUGUAGUGGUGGGAGCUAGCAGGUAAGAUGGAACAGUCGAAGUACUUGCAAGAUGACUAAGGGGUCGUUUGGUAGAGUGUAUUAGUAAAAUAAUGCAUGCAUUAACUACGUGUAUUGGUAAUAUCUUGUUUGCAACACUUUUUCAUGUUAUAUUAGUUAUACACUCUAUUGUGUAUUAAUGUCUGUAUUACUAAUACCAUAGAUUACUAGGUAUUAGUAAUGCAAGAGAUUUUAAUGCAUGCAUUAACAUGGUUACAUAACUCAUUGCCCCUCUACAUCAUUUUUACAACUUUUCUACCAUAAUUGGUAAGGAUAUUUUUGUAAAUAAAUGUAUAGUUAAUGCAGACAUCACUAAUACACUUUACCAAACGACUUAAGACACCACAUUAUUGGGGUAGGGUAAGUACCCCUUUUUGUAGCUUCUUUAUAAAUGGUUUGAGUCAAUGACUAUUAAAGUUGGAAUUCUAAUGUUCCCUUUCUUUUAUAGGAAUGUUCUCUACCCCAAUUGUGUAGAUUGUUGACAAUGUAUUUGUUGAAGGUGCUUUGAUAGCUGUUACACUUAGCUUUCAUUCUUUUCUCUUUGGAAAAUCUUGUGCUAUAUUCAACAAAAUUAGGCUCAAAAUAAAGUAGGGAAAAGUUGAUUUUCAUUCUGUUGAAAGGGGAAAGAGGGGAACGCGUCGAAUAAAAAGUUCUUUUUUUUGCACUACAUAACAACCUAAUAAAAUAAACAUUUAUGCGCGCUAGGAACUAGCAUCAAAUCUAUAAAUACAUGACAUGUUUUCUUCGUACAUUUUUUUAUAUUUAAUUUGAUAUAAAUACAGAGCGUGAAUAAGUUGCUUUUUGAAGAAUGACAAUGACACAUCAUUAGAUGUUUUUAAUGUGAAAAAGGGAAAAAGAAGAUGGACCCAAAAGAGCAAAAGAACACAAAUGAUAGUUUUGUUUUUGGGGGGUGGGGGGGAUCUCAGAUAAAAAAAAAUAUGGAACUGUAAGAUAUGUUCCCAAUAAUCUUUGCAGAUAAAGAUUCAUUGGUUUGAAGAAAAUGUUUUUCAAGAGAAAUAUUUUACUUGAAACACAAAUCCUAGUGUUAAGAGUUAUUACAUCCUACUUUUUCUUGAUUUUUUUAAAUUAAAAUUGGUGAAAUCUAGAUACAUUUUAAAAUGUCUUGACAUUGUAUUUCGGUUUUGGAUACAUCACUCGAGGUACUCGAUACAUUGUUUAUGUCUUGAUAGGGCUGCGUAUCGGCCGGUUCGGUUUUGAAGUUUAUCGGUUUGUAGAGAUGCUAAACCAUUGUAGAACCAUUAAGCUAUUGGCUUAUCGGUUAUUGGUUUAUAGGUUUUUGAUCGUUAUCGGUUUAACCGUUAAGAUUUGACACAAAAAAAAACCAUUGAAAAUCACUUAGAAACAAGGUGACAAACCAAAUAAAUCAUGCACAUGAGUUCACAAGUUACAUCUUGCUCAAAAGCAAACACUUUUACAUUGUAGAAUAACCAAGUAUUUGAGACAACCAAAAAUAAAAGUAGGAAACCAAAUUCUAAGUCAAGGACUUUAUAGUAGGAUGCAAUGUAAAUAAACGAGCUGAUUUAGUUUAGGAUUCAACAACUGGAAAUGAGUCAUAUCCUAAUUCGAUUUUCCUCUUGUUUUAGGUGGUUCUAACUAAAUGAAAGAAAGGUUGAACAACAAUUUAAGUUAUAUUUUCUCAUCAAAUUUAACUUAUAUAUGUUGAUAGUGUGAUUAGAUUUGAUUGUGAAAAUUUAUGUGUUAAAAAAAUAAAAGUGUAAUUGCUUUCGAUCGAUAAAAGAGAAGCGUUAAAGUAGGUCGACGACUAACAUAAAAGUGAAGUGUUAAAAGACAGGUCGACGACUAACAUAAAAGAGAAGUGUUAAAAAGACUUAAAGUAGGCUGACGAUCAGCACAAAAGAGAAGUGUUAAAGCAGGCCAACGACUAACGUAAAAGAUAGUUCAAUUUUGAUAAGCAUUUCAAAUACCAAAUAAAGUGGACAUUGAGAAUUAAUAUAGUCAAACUUAAUUAAUUUCAAUUUAUUCAACUUCAUUGUACACGUUUUCUUGAUGCUUCAUUACAAAGUGAAUAUCUUUAGAUUUUGACUUGAUAAAUUCAAACCUACUUUCCUUAUAAUUAAGUUGUACUCUAAAAAGUUCUUUAAUAGAUUAAUGCUAUAACUUUUAGGCUUAUUACUUUUAUAUCUAGACUUUGACUACAUGUAAAUAUCACAAUUAAUGUGUAUAUACUUUUUAAGCCUAAUUGUGUGAGUUAGGUAACUUUAGGGUAAAAGAACCUUCUUAUAAAUCCUACUUUUUAAUUUUAUGUACAAAAGAUAAUUGCUCAAAGAGGAGUGUUGAAGUAAGUUGGCGACUAACAUAAAAGAUGGUUCAAUUCUGACAAGUUGUUCAAAUAUCGAUUCUAAAGGGAUAUAGAUAAUUCAUAUGGUCAAUUUUAUUCGAAAUUGAAAUGUACUGGAAUGAUCGAGUUCUCUUUCAGACCUUCCUACCACCUCAACCAUUUAAAGUGGAGGUGUGUUUCUAGUGGAGAAGUGGCUUGAUUGAUUUCAUUUAUUUAAACCUAAAUCUAUUUAACUUUAUUGUUAGGCAUUGUUUUAGUGAAUUUAUUCUUUACAUAAAGUAAAUAUCUCUAGAUUGACAUGAUUAAUUUGAACCUAACCUACUUUUCCUUGUAAAUAAGAAGCACUGAAGUUCUAUACUAAAUUAGUGUAACAAUUUUUAGGUUUGUUAUUUCUAUAUCUAGACUUUGACCACGUGUAAAUAUUAUAAUUCAUGUGUAUACUUGAGACCUAUUCUUACUUUUUAAGCCUAAUUAUGUGAGUUUGGUAACUUCUAGGGUAGAUAAACAUUCUUAUGAGUCUUACUUUUUAAGUUAAUGUGCAAAUGUAUUAUUGCUCCAAAUCCCCAAUAAGUACAAGAAGUUGGCAACUCACAUAGAUGGUUCACUAAUAUGAGUUGUGGUGCAGUGGUGAGACUGCUCCACCCUUAACCAGAUGUCUCGAGUUUGAGCCGUGGGUAUGGAGAAAAUCUUGUUGGGAGUGUUAUCCUUAAGAGGCCCUGCAGUGUGUGAUCUACAUUUAGUCGAAGCUUCAAUUCGAGCACCAGACACCGAGUGAAAAAUAUAAAAUAUAAAAUAUAAAAGACAAUUUGAUUCCGAUGAGCCUUUUAAAUAUUGAAUGCGAUGAACACAUAGAACUUACAUAGUCGAAUCUUAACUAAUUUGAAAUUAGAUAUAGUUAAGUGACCGACUUUCCUAUAACCUCGAUUAUUAAAGGUGAGUAGCGUUUCUAAUGGAGUAGCGGUCAUAACUCAUUUCAUUUUUCCAAUACAUUAACUUUUAACUUUAUUGUCACACGUUGUUUUCUUGAUCUCUUUGUUGCACCAAGUAAAUAUCUUUAGAUUGACAUGAUAAAUUUGAACCUAACCAACUUUUAGGUUUGAUAUUUUCAUAUCUAGAGUUAGACCUAAUCUUACUUUUUAAGCCUAAUUAUAUGAGUUUAACCUUUCUGUAACAAUCUAACCUACUUGUCUUAGCUUUUUCUUGCUUUUGUGCUUUCUCUUCUUUUUCUAUCACUGACAGACAAAGAUUAAAGUAAAAAGAAAAAAGAAAAGGAAAAAAAAGGGUCAAAAUCAUACUUUACCUAUAGCACAAUAGGAUUAGUUUAAUUAUUUUUAAUACUUAAUUAUCUAUACUUUACCUCCAAAAACUUUGUUUGAUGUGAGUUUAAUUUAAGGAUAUGUCAUCUAUGUAGAAACAUCUAAAUGACAUUUUAACUUUUUGUAUGCAAAAUUCUAGAAGAGAUAACUUACUAAACUCUGAAUAAAUUUAUUUAUAUAAAUAUUAAAUGCAUUUCUCGACAUAAAUAUAAUUUUCUUGGCUAAAGUUAUUUGAUUUUAUUGAAUUCAUAACUAGACCUCUAACUCUGCCUCGAUACAUUGACUCAAUCAAACAUUAAAACAUUUCUUUUUUCAAAAAAGUGAUUCUUUUAGAAAUAUGUCUAGUUGCAAAGAUCUGUUUGGAUGUACUAAUUAUGAAAAAAGAGAAAGGAAAAUAAAGUGUUCAAUGAAAAGAAAUUUGUGUAGAAGAGAUUGUAGUUUAAUGCAAAAAUUUCUUUUUAAGCGCCAAUGGUUUUAGAACUUGAUGCUUUCCAAACAGGGAAUUAUUCUCUUUAACAAAACAUUUUAUAGUGUCUUUUGAAAAUAAAAAAUAAAAAAUAAAAGCAAAGGUUCCUAUAAACUCUUGAAAUAUCAAAAUUUGAAUUUUGAAUUUCUUUUGUGAUGGGAGGUUAGUAGGUAGUCCGAACAUGUCUUGUUUCCUUUUCAGUUUUGUUAGUAUUAUCUAGCGAUUUUAGUAUUACAUGUUGUUUCAUUUGCUUCAGUUAUCGUGUUAUUUAUUGUUGUUACUAUUCUCUUCUUCUUCUUUGUAUAUGUAUUUGUUUGUUAUGCUUUACUUGAGUCGAUGAUCUAUCGAGAAUAGCUUAUCUACCUUCACAAUUAGGUAGAGGCAAGAUUGUAUACACACUACCCUUUGCUCAGACUUCACUUGUGAGAUCACAUAGAACAAAUUUGUUGUUAUUGUUAUUGUUUUCAUUUUUUUUUUUUUAUAUUUGUUGUGCAGACUUGUUAUUUAUUAUGCUUUACUUGAGACAAGAGUGUAUUAUAAAAUUAUUCUGAAUUUAUUAUUAUUGUUAUUGGUGUAUCAUUCUCACUACAAAUUAUAAAAAUAAAAUAAAAAUUUACAACCAUCUAUAUGUAACUCUCUAGUGAUCAUUUUUUGUCUGCUAUUUUAGAUGUAUAUUUGUUUUUCUUUAUUCCUUUUUGAUAGUUAAUAAGAAAAAACAGAAAAAUCUGACUAGAUUAACAGUCAUCAGAUGCUAUAGCUUAAGUUUGACGAUCAAGAAAAAUAUAUUUCAGAUGAGGAGGUCAUAUGCAGGGGCGGCUCAAGCAUAUUAGUGGCCUAAAGCAAAAAUCAAACGGGGCCUUAAACUUAAAUUGUUAAUAACUUUUAUAUAAUUGAUUUCUUCUAGUUUUCAUCUGAUGAUAUAACCAUUCUUAUUUUAAAUUAUUUUUCAUGAGAUAUAGUACUCCAAAUAUGUCAAAUCUCUUCCAAUAAUCCCUUCAUUUUUCAUGAAAAGUUUACUUUUUCUACAAAUAGUAUUCAAUAUUUGUUAAAAAAACAAUUACUUAUAACCUAUUAUUAUUAAAAAUGAGGCCCUUAAAUUUGGGGCCUAAGGCACAUGUCUUUUUUUUAACACCGUCGAGCCACCCCUGGUCAUAUGGAUCGGAAUCCGGAGCGAUAAAGCAUGAAAAUCAAAAGUGGAGAUAAAAAAUAAGAAUUGAUUGUUCAAGUAUUCUAAAUUAAAUGGUAAAAUAACAGAAAUCGAGACAUAUAGAAGAGGUCUUCUAGCCUAGUUAUAGACUAAUGUAUUGAAGAAAAGCAACCUUAAUAAUCGAUCUAUUCGCAACCUUCUAGGUCAAAGGUCUUCGCCCGAACCACCAUGCCGAGGUGAGUACGAGUGGUGUCACGCCACGUACUUCACAAUUUUCGUUCUUGAGCUCGAUUUUGUCAUUUUAACUCGUUUUUACUUCUUUUUCAUUAUUAUUAUUAGCCUCGAUCUUGUUUCUUGAUACACAAACCUGAAAUGUGACAAAUUCCAUAUGAUUGAGGAUAACUAUGUACUAAAGAACUAUAAAAAAACGUAAGUAAUUGACGUUGAAUAAUCAGUGAAAAAUCACCACUUACUAAGUGACAUGGAACAUGUUCACAACGUAAAGUGAUCAAGAGACGUUCUUUCUCGUGAUCAAUCCGAGGUGCUACUUGACUUUCUCGAAGAUCAAAUCGAAGAGGUUCAUCAUCUUCUUUCGAGAAUGUUCCAAGGGAUCGGUUAAUGUAACAAAUGAAAAAUUAGAGGUGCAAUUCACCUUCACCUAACAAAAGUGAGGUACUCAUUAUGUAAUUAAAAGUGGUGAGUUGAAUACUUGAAUAGGUAAUUGCCUCUGAGGAGUUUAAAGUUUCAUAUAUUAUAUUUUAGCCCACUUUACUUUUUCACUGUUGAUAUGGAAAAUCAAUUUAAGACCCUACUCACCAAUAAAGAUAAUAUUGAUUCUUUUUGGGUCUAAAAUACUAAUUUGAAAGUUCCCACCAAAUAUAUGGUAGCCCCACCCCCACCCCAAUUAGAUAUAAAAGAUUUGAUUUGGAUUUUUGAAUUUCAGAUUUAAAAAAUCACAUGUCAAAUUAAACAAAAAAUGUUUCCAUAAAUUUGAUUCAAAUUAAUCAAUAUGAUUAUCUCAGUAUUUUAGUUUUGAAAAUAAUAAUUUGAGCGCGCGUCAUAGAUUCACUUGCAAGGAUGGGUGCUACUCUUAACUGUCGAGUUUAUUCGAAUAUAACAUUUUAAUACAAAUCAUAACCAUGUUAAAAACUCACUAUUUUUUUUUAAUAAAUACUAAAUUUGAAUUAACAAUUUUAAAUGUAUAAUAAAAGUUUAAAUGAUCAAGUUUAAAUCAUGGAUUCAUCGAUGAUAGCUUGAAACUAAUACAAUCAAAUAUUUAUUAAUUGGUGAUAUUUAAAUAAAGUCUUUAAAUCACCACCGUCCUAAAUUCAAACCCAUCUAUAAAUUUAAUUAUGAUACUAAAUCGAUAGUGGCACAAUUUAUUCAAAAAAUAUAUAUUAUCUUCCUCCGUAUAAUAUUAUAUAUAUAAAGGUAAUUUAAUUUUUAGUAAUAUAACACAUGUCACAAUUCAAUCAUCUUCCAAACUUCUUUAUUGGUUUAUUUUAUUUUAUUUUAUUUUUAUAGUAGGCCUAAUAAUUAAGAGAUUAACCUAUCUAAAACCAAUUAUUGUUUACUUUUUAUAAUGCAUCACACGUAUUAAAAAUUAUCAUAUCAAUUGACAAAUUUUAAACGAAAAGAAGUAUUUAAAUUUGACACAUGGGGUAAUAUGAUCCACACUUUCUUAUAAAAUGGACUUUUAGAAAGUAUUUUCCAUUAGUGAAUUGAAUUAUUUAGGUAAUGCAAAUUAAAAUUAGUUUAAACUACUGUAUUUGGUAUUAAACAAAAUUUUAAACAACCUGCACCAUAAGAAAUCAUGACCUAAAAAGAAAAAUUCUAUUUUAAGAACUUAUUUAUUAAUCUUUCUGAUUAAUUAGAUAUGUCACCAUCGCCUUGAUGUAAUUGAUAAAUAAAGCUAUAUUAUUAUGUGAUUAGAAGGUCACAUGUUCGAACUGUGGAAACAAUUUCUUACAUAAAUACAUAAUAAAAUUGCUACAAUAGAUCCUAUUAUGGUUCGACCUUUCCUCCGAUUUGCCGAAGCAAUGAGAACUUAUUGCAUCGAUAUGUACAUUUUUUUAAAUUUUAGAAUCAACCGGUUUCUUUUUUCACUAUUACAACAAAUUACAAGGUAGACCUUGAAGUAACGGUAAAAUUAUCUUCGUAUGACCUAUAGUUAGGUCACUAAUUCGAAUCGUGAAAGCAAUCACUAAUACUUACAUUAGAGUUAACUAUCUACUUGACACUCAUUUUUGUUAACGUGAAAUGCUUUAUGCAUCGAACUGUCUUUAUCGUAAUAACAAAUUAAGGAAUCAAUUUUGAAUUCAAAUUAACAUUAAAUAGAGUAAAUCUAUACAUUUUUUUCCUUUUUAGAUGGAGAGAAUAUUAGUUAAACAAUCACAUUGGUAAACAUUGGACAGCAAAGGUAAAAUUGUGUCACUUCUGACUGGACUUUUGUGAGUGGUUUACAUGUAGAAUAUAUGCAUGGAAUAAAUUAAAGCUAGGGAACAAAAUAAAUGUUUGGUAUAAUAUAUUAUCAGUAUCUGGGCAUAAUAAAAACUUAGUGUAUUAAUUUUUUUUCCGUGUUAUUUAAUUUAAAUCGUUAUAACAGGUUGGCUAGAUGAUUUAGGGUAAUUUCUAUUUCAUCAUGUCAAUUAGGGGUGUUCACGGUUUGAAUAAAAACCGAUCCAAAUCGAAAAACCAAAUCAAACCGAUAAAAUAAAACCGAUUUUAUUUGGGUUUGGUUUUAGAAUUUUGAAAACCGAUAGUAUUUGGUUUGGUUAUGGUAUUAUUCGAAAAAACCCGAAGAAAUAACCGAACCGAACCGAUGAAUUAUAUACAUAUAUUUUAUUAAUAUACAUACUUAAUAUAUUAUUUUUAUAAACAAUUUUAAAGAUCUUAUACAUAUUUUCAUUAAAAUUUCUUUAUAAUUUACUUAUUGAAAGCAAAAAUGCCCAAGAUGAAACAUUUAUCUUAUUGAUUUCAUGUAUAUGAGUGUCUAUGNNNNNNNNNNNNNNNNNNNNNNNNNNNNNNNNNNNNNNNNNNNNNNNNNNNNNNNNNNNNNNNNNNNNNNNNNNNNNNNNNNNNNNNNNNNNNNNNNNNNNNNNNNNNNNNNNNNNNNNNNNNNNNNNNNNNNNNNNNNNNNNNNNNNNNNNNNNNNNNNNNNNNNNNNNNNNNNNNNNNNNNNNNNNNNNNNNNNNNNNNNNNNNNNNNNNNNNNNNNNNNNNNNNNNNNNNNNNNNNNNNNNNNNNNNNNNNNNNNNNNNNNNNNNNNNNNNNNNNNNNNNNNNNNNNNNNNNNNNNNNNNNNNNNNNNNNNNNNNNNNNNNNNNNNNNNNNNNNNNNNNNNNNNNNNNNNNNNNNNNNNNNNNNNNNNNNNNNNAAAAUAAAACCAAUUUUAUUUGGGUUUGGUUUGGUUUGGUUUUAGAUUUUUGAAAACCGAUAGUAUUUGGUUUGGUUAUGGUUUUAUUCGAAAAAACCUGAAGAAAUAACCGAACCGAACCGAUGAAUUAUAUACAUAUAUUUUAUUAAUAUACAUACUUAAUAUAUUAUUUUUAUAAACAAUUUUAAAGAUCUUAUACAUAUUUUCAUUAAAAUUUCUUUAUAAUUUACUUAUUGAAAGCAAAAAUUUCCAAGAUGAAACAUUUAUCUUAUUGAUUUCAUGUAUAUGAGUGUCUAUAUCAAUUCUUUGUGGUACUGAAAAUGUUAUUGUCUCUUCCUUCUAGGCCAAUAUAGUGAAUUUUAAAGCUUUAUUGAUAGUAAAUUUAGUGAUUGAAAGUUUAGUAAUUUAAGUCAUUCUAACUAUUUUUCGUUUUGAAUGGAUUGUUGUCACUUUUUUCACAUUUUAAAUGAAUUGUUUCUUUUAUUUUUGUGUAUGGUUAAUAACCGAAUAACCGAACCAAACCAAACCGAAACCGAUAAUCACCAAACCGAUAAAUGUAUAUUAUAUUUGGUUUGGUUUGGUUUUGAUAAUUUUAAAACCGAUUAAGUUGGUUUGGUUUUGGUUUUGACCAAUAACCGAUCCAAACCAACCCGUGAACACCCCUAAUGUCAAUAUAUAAAAGUUACUCUACAUUCAAGGGUGCGUUCUAGUACGUAAUCAAUGAAAUGGAUUAAAAAUUCUCAGGUUUAUAUUCCAAAAGAGAUAAUAUAAACUGAUAUAGAGUACUGUUCAAUUUAUGAGUUCAUUUAAACCUAAUAGUGUUAUAUAUGUACUAAAUUUUUUAAAUUAAACAAUAGUGAUAACAUCCACAAGUAAAGUUUGAGAGGUAGAAUUACUGCCGACUCAAUGCUUAUAAAAAUAAGACAUAUACUUUAGUUUCCCAAUUUUAGAGGCUUCAUUUUAUGAAAAAUAUAUAUAUAUUUUUAAAAGAUAUUCUUUUAUUCUCCUUUAACUUCAAUCAAGUAGAAGAAAUCAAUAAAACAUUAUUACGUCUUCGUACAUUUAUUCGCGAAUAUUCACAUUAUUAUUUUUUAAACUCCUUUAAUACGCUAUGAUAAAUUAGACUAAUACUUUGUUAAAAAAUAUGAAUCCACUGUCAAAAAGUAUUGAACAAAGUCAAUUGCAAGCCUGUUUGAAUCGAUUUAUUUUAUGUAUUUUUAAAUCAAAAACAUUUAUAGACAAUUUUGUCAAACUUAUUACACAUAAAAUAAUAUUAAACAAUUUAAUUGAUUUUGCAUGAUAUUUGCCCAUACUAUUGUGUAGCAAAAAAGAUAGUGGAGUGGUGAGUGUAAGUGAGCCCACACUUUUGGGGAGUGGGAAAAAAAAUGAAAAAAAGUAUAAAUAGUUGAGCCCCUCUUUACUUUUUCCUUUGCCUAUUCAUAAAAUAAUUUAAACCAAGAAAUUUAUUACAAAGUGCCUAUUAUAUACUAACAACAAAAAAAAUACUCCCAUUACACCUUUUUUUAUUUUUAUCUUUUGUUCUUUUCACUCUUUUCAAAUUUUAAGUACACAAAGUGUAUUGGUAGAUUGUGGAAUAUUUGGAUGAUGAGUGAAGAACAUAAGGAGAAAAUCAUGGCUGAGGUUGUUGAUAAUGAUGGAAAAAUUGGUGUUUGUGAAAAAGAAUUUGUCAUUUCAACACCUAAGGUGACUAUGCUUUCUAUUUGUUUUGCUUCUUUUGUUGUUUUGUUGUUGUUGUGCUUUCAUGUCUUGUUUGUUUAGUGGAUUUUUACACGAAUUUAUACUUCACGUGGAAAGUAACGAGUUCAGAUGAACCUGUUAUGAGAAAGCUCCAUCCAUUCCGGCUUGUUGUAUAUAUAGUAGAUGUCCCUAUCCCAACUUAUCUGAGACUGUCGAAGUAUAUUUUGAAUUUUCUUAGUGAAAACUCUGACUCUGUCACAGUAUUUGUCCCAUAGUCUUUUGUUUUCUUAUUUUGGUUUGUUUGAUAAGAAGGAGAAAUGAAAAGAGAGUUUAUGAGUCUUUUGUUGUUUUGUGUACUUCUGUGUAACUGUGUUUUUAUCUUGGCUGUUUGUUUUGUUAUUACAGUUUGAAUUGUCUAUUUGUAACUUGUUGUUGUAUGUAACUUUUGAAGGGGAGCCUUAGAGCAAUGGUAAAAGUUGUCUCUGUGUAACCUAUAGGUCACGGGUUUUGAGUGUAAAGACAUCUUAUUAUGUCCUUUUUCUUAAUGUGGUUAGGACUUGGGAGUGUUAUGAAUUUGUAGUAUAGUUGGAGAUGUUGAUCAAGUUCUUGAACUGAAUUGCUUUGUGUUUCGACAAAGUUAGGACCCCGAGUGCAUUUCUUGAUCACUAGUUUACUAAACGAACUUAUUUGUUCUUCGUUGUACAGAUCGAGAGGUCAUCCACGAUUACUGAAGAAACAACACAUGCUAAACAUUGGAGGAAACCAAACCUAUCCUUAGACAUACCUUCAAGAACGUUAGACGCCUCUCCUCAAGAGUUAGUUCAGAUUAAAAGACCAUUCACGCCUACACCGAAGAGGGUGAAUUUCCUUUUGACACCUAGUACUUGUGAUUCAAGAAUAACUACUUCAUCACCUGGUCCCUCCCCGUGUCGUGGAAAAGCAACUAUUAGAAACCUUUUCCCUAAACUGAGCUUGAAAUCACGUAUGAAUUCGGAUACAGAGAAGAUAACUGUCCCAGAUUCAGGUCCAACUGCUGCAGUUGUGCCACAACAAGAGAAGGUAUCCAUUUCAAGGUCAUGGUCACUUUCUAAAAUGUUUACGCCUCGUAUCAAGAGGACCUCAUCUUUGCCCGUUACACCAAUUGCUCAUUCAAAUCCAGAGUCUAUUAGUGGAAGCAUCAGCAACUCUCUAACACUUGGUGUAAGUUCUAUGGACAUUGUUUGAUUGAUUUCAUAUUAAGUAUCUUACGUUCCUUUUUAGUCUGUUCCGAAAAGAGUCUCUUUCUAUAUCUAACAUCUUUAGUUUAAGACCACAAGAUUCGAAAGUCUAUCUUUAUUUCUUGAACUCCAUGUCUUAAACUAAGACGCUUAAAUUGGGACGGAUGGAAUAGUUGGAUUCUUGGUAAUUUUUUGAUGCAUUCAUUUGAAAUACGAUAUGUUGUUAUUGCAGACAAAGGAAACACAUGUGUGCAUUUCACGAUCGAUGUCUUUACCAGUCAUUAACAAAGAAAAAGAGGGAAGCAAUAGGAGAGUAGAAUUUUUCUUUCGAGUUAUUCCUUCAACGCCUCAAGUGAAGGAUGUGGAUUCUUCCUCAGUUCCAGCUACGAGUCCAGCGAAAGUACCUGGUAAACAAUUGCUUCAAAUCAAUUUGAUUCUUGUUAUAUUUUGAUUAUAAGCAUUCAUAGGCUUUGAUGUAUUACUCUCUCCGUUUCAAUUUGUUUGCCUGGUUUUGACUUGACAUAGAGUUUAAGAAAGUAAAGAAGACUUCUGAAUCUUGCGGUCUUAAACAUGUCAUGUUGCCAAAAAAGGAAAGAUAUAUUCUUUUUGAAACGGACUAAAAAGGAAAGUAAGACUAACGAAUUGAAACAGAGGGAUUGUUAAAGAUGCCACCGUCUUGAUGUCUUGACUCUUGAUGUACCCUUUUGAUUAUUUUUUUCUCUCAGAGGAAAAUGAGCAGGGUGGUGAAGAUAUACCAGAAGAGGAAGCUGUUUGUCGAAUUUGCCUAGUUGAGUUGUGUGAAGGCGGAGAGACACUUAAGAUGGAAUGCAGCUGCAAAGGCGAACUUGCUUUGGCUCAUCAAGAAUGUGCUUUAAAAUGGUUUAGUAUCAAAGGUAACAAGACAUGUGAUGUGUGCAAACAAGAAGUCAAGAAUCUCCCCGUUACACUCUUGCGUAUGCAAAGUGUUCGAAAUGCAAAUGCAGGAUCCAAUAGGUAUCGGUAUAUGGAAUUAAAUGGACACAGGUAAAUGUCUUUUCAUCAUUUUAACAUACGCCCUUCUACUUUUCGUAGAAAUUUUAGCAGCUAAGACAGAAAAGAUCCCACCUUUCUCGCGUCACCUUACUGAAACUGACAUACAUAUAUACAAGAUUCCUCACGUUUGAACGAAAAAGUCAUGUUCUGUUUUUGAUCAGCACACAACAUUGUUAGACCAUAAAAGAAGUUACUAUACUCUCUCUUCUCGUUCCUCGUUUCUCUGCUUAUCCUACUGGUUACUUUCAACUAUUGAUACUAAGAUCGCGGUGUUAGUUUCAAUAAAACGUCUUUAUCAAUGGCGACUCAAUAAAAUUCGGUUCCUGACUUUUGCUACACUGGACAGGGUUUGGCAGGAAUUACCAAUUCUUGUCAUUGUCAGCAUGCUUGCCUACUUUUGUUUUCUUGAGCAGCUACUGGUAUGUUUAGAAGAUCGUCUUUAUCUCGAGAGAAAACAGUCAUCUAAUGUAUUUAUCGUACUAAAUUUGAAGUUGUCCCGUCUGCAGGUUGGGAAAAUGGGUACCGGUGCAAUUGCUAUUUCACUUCCCUUUUCUUGUGUACUAGGCCUACUCGCGUCAAUGACAUCUUCAACUAUGGGUAUGUGAUUUAUCAUUAACGGUAACAUUUAACAAGCUUUGAUCUAUCAAAUGCAUUAGUCGCGUCAUAAGUCAAGUGGACUUGCCAAUUCAGUUGAAAUCAACUAAUUAGGAAAGAAGAUAGAUACAUUGGAUCUUCGUUUGGUUAUUUCUCGAAAAAUGCUGUCAAGGAUCUUAUGUCCAUUGUGUCUUUUUUUGUAUUUUGACUAUGGUAUUAUCUCUGGUGCAGUUAAGCGAAGGUUUGUUUGGGUAUAUGCAUCGGUCCAAUUCGCCUUAGUAGUACUAUUUGCACAUAUCUUCUACUCUUUGGUAAGUUAAUACUCCCUCCGUCUCAUUUCAAGUGUCUUUUUUGCCUAAGAAAGAUGUUACAAAAUAAUUGUCGCUUUAGAAAAUCAAGAGAGAAUUAGAUUACUCCGAAACUUUCAAGAAUGUUAUGGCCAAAUGCCCCCUUAAAAUGAGACGAACGGAGUAUCUAAUGAUAUUGAUGGAAAUUGUGUUUUUGAGCUUACUAGAUAUACUGAACUGAUUAAAUUUUACAUCUGUAUGAUAUGUUAGGUUCGCGUGCAACCAGUUCUUUCGAUUCUGCUAUCAACAUUUGCUGGCUUUGGAGUUGCAAUGAGUGCAAGUUCGUUACUCGUUGAGUUCUUUAGAUGGAAAAGGCGACGAGCAGCCUUGUUAGAACAGCAGCAAAAUGCAGAGAUGAUUUUGCCUCCAGGAGGAUGGCCACAUAUGAAUCAACCUGCUACAACGUCUCGUGUAGGUCCUCAAAAUCAUCAGCACGAUAUAGAAAAUCCCGAGACGUUUAGUUGGAGCUAGAUUGUGUCUUGUGUUACUGUUAUAGCCAAAAAAGAGUUGAGUGAUUUGUUCAUCCAGAGUUGUGGAGAUUGAUGUUUAGUACAAAUUAGAAGUUUAUUGUGUUCUACUACAGGAAAAACAGAAAUAGUUGAUGUUGUUGUUUGUAUUGCUGAAAGAAUAUGUAAAAAGUGAAAUGCAUAUAUAUAAGUAGAAGAGAGUAUAGAAAGGUGUUUUUAAGGGAAAAUUACGAUUUUACGAGUCAUGAUGAACGACUAUGACUUUAAGUACAAUUUUCAUUCGAUCUGAUUUUAACUUGUUCAUAAGACAUGCCGGAUGGACAAACUUGCCGUGUUCACAAGUCUUGUCGGAUAAGUGUAUGAUUUAUUUUUUUGAUAAUCGUAGUGUUCAGGUUAGUUUGCACCUCGACUAUUUUCACGGACUAUCUGUUACCUCCCACCAGGUUACUCUGUCCACCAAAAACAGGACAAAUCAAAUGCAUGAUUUAAAGUAAUUUUUUUUUCUAUUUAUCUUUUAAUUGUUCACAAGUUAUACUAGAUUGAUAAAAUUAAUUUACAUUAUUCAACUUUUCACAAGUUAUGCAGGAUUAAUAAGACUGAAUAUAUCUUCAUUCUACCUAUCUCGUUAGAUUAUUGACAAAUCUUACCGUAUUGGUCUAACUAGCAUGUGUUUGUUAAAUUAUUUUUUAGAUGAAUUAAAUCAUUUUAGGUCAAGGUAAAAAAAACAAAUUAGGAUACAUAGUGAAGUUUAAUUGAAGAAAAAAACCCUAAUUAACUUAAUUCCAUGACAUUUAGAAGGAAAGUGUUUCCUACUAAUUCCUAGUAAAUAUUUUUUUAUUUCUAAACUAAAACUCGAACUCAAGAUUUCAUACUUUCAAUCACAUCUCUUAGGGAUCGUUUGAUAUGCUGCACAAACAUAUAUAGUAUAAAAAGUCAAUACUCUUGCCGUCUUUAUUUGUAUAUAACCGUUUGUAUUUCAAAAGUCAAACAUUUUAUUUUGACUGUAAAUUCGGACGUACAACUUUUAUUUUGACUGUAAAUUCAGACGUACAACUUUUAUUUUGACUGUGAAUUCUCGUUUCCAAUCGACCAUCUGAGCUUCUAAGAUUUCGGGUCUACCAAUUUAGACCUCAUAGCAUGUUAAGGUUGAUAAAAUGUGUAGCAAUUGGCGGCUGAACCUCCAACGAAAUAGGGCAUACAUAGUUUGUAGACUGCACUUUCUUGAGAUAUAUAUAUAAACAGAGGAAAGUUGCAGAAGGGCAGCUUGAUGAAUUGCAGCAGACCCACAAAAAUAGCCCAAAUUCUGCCUAUUUUCAACUCUUUCAUAUACCCUCGAGGUGCUCUUUCAUAUUCACUCAUCGUUAGUCUUCUCUCCCUUUUCUUCUUUUAUUGUACUCUUUUAUUUUUAUGUCAGCACUUCAAUUUUCACUUUUAUCUGUUCCAAGAAUAUUUUACAACUUUAUCUUCCCUUUUAGGGUGUGCUUGGUAUGAAUAAAAAUGCUUUCUUGGAGAAAAAUAAGUGAUUUUUGAUUUGUUUUCUUGUGUUUUGUUAGUACAAUAUUGUCUCAAGAAUAUUUGUAUAUAAUCUAGACAAAUAGUACUAGUGCUGGGUAUAGGUGUGGAGGUGGUGGGGAUGGGGAUAUGAGAGGAUGGGGUGGAGUAUGGUGGAGAGAGUGUGCUUGGUAUGAAUAAAAAUGCAAUCUUGGAAAAAGAAUGAUUUUUUUAAAACUUAUUUUCUUGUAUUCAGUACAUAUUUAGGUAAUAUUAUUUCAAAAAUAUUUGUAUAUAAUCUAGUCGAUACUAUGAGGAUGAGCUGAGUGCAGGUGUGGGGGGUGGGGGGGGAAUGGAGGCUAUGAGAGGAUGGGGUGGAGUAUGAUGGAGAUAGUGUGGGGGUGGGGGUGGAGGACAAUCAUGCCAGAAUUAGAACUUGUUUUUCUAUUUUCACUAGGAAAGAGUUUUUACUCCAAAUAUUUUGAGCAACCAAAAAUGAGAAAACUGCAAAACACUUCCUCCUACCAAACAUACCCUUAGUCUUUCUUAUAGUUUUUGUUUCCAGUUUAGCUUAGACCUUACAAAGAUUAAAACUUUUUGGUUUCUUGUUUUUUUUUGGUUGACAGGUGUGGAAAAAAUUGGAUUUUUGAACUUGUGGGCAAGAAGUAGGAAGGGUUUUAGUGCAGUUAGUGUGAAGAAAAUGGGUUGGAGUUUGGAGAAUCCUGAUGGGGAUGUGGAGACUAAGAAGGCUACUGUGUCUCCUGCAGCAGAAGAUUAUGGUCAAGAGGCAAUUGAAGCUAUCAGGGCUGGGAAAGUCAUAGCUGUUCCCACUGACACACUGUAUGGCUUUGCUUGUGAUGCUUGGUAUGUCUCUACUUUGUUUUUCUUCAUUUGAUGAUAAGUUCAACACACCAAAAAUGUCAUGUUAGAUACAUAGUAGUGUAAUUUUAUGAGCAUGCUUGGUACAAAUAAAUUCGGAAACAACAUUCUCUAUCCCAUAAACAUAGGGGUAAGGACUGUGUACGUCCUCCCCUUCUCAGAUCCCACAUGUGGGAUUGCAACUGGAUAUGUUGUUGUUGCUGCUUGGUACAAAUAAUCUGUUAGUACUCUUGGGUUUUGGUCUAUUUUGUAUUGGAAGAAAAUAAUUAGAUUGGAGAUAGUGUUGUCAGAAGUGCGUGUAAGCCCUGAAGUGAGGCGCAAAACAUGUUGAGCGCUUCGCCUUGCUUUGCGGGAGCAUCAAUGUCGUCAUCAAGGAAGACAUACUUUUCCUUUUCAAUGAGCGUAAUUCGGAAGAGGGGAUAUUUGAUAUUUCAGCUUACCGAUUUUGAUUUUUUUUUUCAUUUUCUUUGUUCAUAUAUUUGUUAUUCAUGCUUAUAAUUAUUAGUCUUGGACUAUACAUUCAAAUUUAUAAAAAAAGAUUCCACUUGCGCCUUUCUUUAUUAAAGCCCACACUUUAUCUGCGCAACACUUAAAGCCCCAACAAACCUUAGAGCUUGUUUUUAUCUUUUUGCCUUUGAUACACUGAUUGGAGAGGAAAGGGUAGAAUUGAAUUAAACAUUAUGCUUGGAUAGUAAAACGUAGGAGUUGUGCUGCAAAGUACUCUAAAGUGUGUUGUUGAUAUUUUCGCCUUAGGUUCAAUGUUACUCAUUUAGAGCUUAGAUUUUGCAUUGACGCCCGAAUAAUCUUUACUAAAUUUCUUAGCAUGAAAAGAUCGGCCUUUGAUUACAUUGCCUUCACUUUGAUAAGCCAGUAGAAGAACCAAUUAGGAGAAGUAGGAGGUCAAGGCAUGACAUCUCUACUGGUAGUAAAAAAUUAAUAAUCAUGAAGCCUAUGUGGACAAGGAGAUGUUGGAUAAAUCAGAACAAAAAGAAAUUUCAGUGCUAAAAAAAUAGAGGAAACGCUCUGGAAGCAAUGCUCCUAGGCACACUCUUGUUACACUUUAGUAAAGGGUUCCUCUGGUCUAUGAGUUAAGCUGUGUUUUGAUAUUGGUAUGGUUUGAAGUCACUACACUGCAUUGGUUUCAAAUUGAAUAUGAUGCUUUGGCUGAGGGCAAGGCGCAAAAUCAUCAAACAGCGUCUCAGGAAUCUCUAGGAGACAGAUUAAUUAGCUACAAAGAAGCAGUAAAAGGUGGUUCUAUUAGUGAUACUGUUUGCCAAACAUGCUUUUAGCUGACAAUGAAACUGAGAACAUAACUGACAUUGAGGAGAGCAAUCAAGGCCAUGACUCCUUAAGGAAGAUUGAUGACAUUUUUCUUUGUGCUAGUGAGUUCAUAUAGUCUUCCGUAUGAGCAACAAAGAAAGAAAAAGGCUUUUCUUUUUACGUGAAAUUUGUAUAUGGAGUUCAUCCUUUUUCAUUGUUUAGCAAUCAAAGUGGCAAUUGCAUGAUUUCAUAUAUAUAUAUUUUAAAAAGCUUAUCCUUCACAGGCUAUUGCAUUAACUUCUUGACUGAACAGAAAGUCUCAAACAUUCUUGUUGUUUCACUGUUCGUUUGACCUAGAAAUUUAUCAAAAAGACAAUUUACUUUGUUGUUUAUUUAUCUAAGUCGUAUUUAUGGAAAGUCUGAUUUAAUUUUAUAUGAUGAAUUGCUGUAGUUCUGCUGAGGCAGUGAAUCGUAUAUAUGAGAUCAAAGGACGUAAGCAUACAAGUCCUCUGGCUAUUUGUGUUGGCGAUGUUCAUGACAUAAAACACUAUGCUGUGACAGAUCAUCUGCCUCAUGGCUUGCUUGACUGCCUGCUUCCUGGACCCGUGACUUUGGUCUUAACGCGAGGUUAGUAGUUAAAUGUUAUGUCAACAAAUGCUGCAUUCACGGGUAUCCUUCAAAGGUUAAAUAUCUCAAGUUAGUACUACUUCAUUGUAACAUACUAACUGUAAGUAACUUGUUGACACACUUGAAUAAGGAGCAAGAUGAGUCACUCUCCUAGGCAAACACUGGCCCAUGUUCAGUAGUUUAAGAAACUUUUAUCUUUCUCAUAUGAAUCUUCUAUACUGGAUGCUGAAUUCAGAUAUUCUACAGGUGAGUCAAGUAUUCUUGAGAAGUCAUUAAACCCUGGAUUAGAGAGCAUAGGGGUUCGAGUGCCAGACUGUAACUUCAUCAGGGUGAUUGCCCGUGGUUCUAGAAGUGCCCUUGCACUUACUAGUGCAAACCUCAGCGGACAACCUAGUAGCAUAGACAUCAAAGAUUUCGAGAACCUCUGGGAGCACUGUGCAUAUGUCUAUGAUGGUGGAAUUCUUCCAGCUGGGCGAGCUGGAUCGACAGUGGUGGAUCUUACUAAGCUGGGGAAGUACAAGAUACUAAGACCUGGAAGGUAAGCUUCCAGUACCUAGGGACUAGGGUGCAAACUACUGUUGAGAUGAACUGAUAUCUUUCUGAGAACGCUUCAAAAGAGUCGACUUCUUAAAUGAAUGAGUUGAACCAGAAAACACUUGAGCUGAUGCUUAUUAAUUUAGAAAUGUAGAGAUUAGGUAUAAAGAGCCAGAAUUUUAAGCAUGCUUAAACUUGGCAUUCGUAUAAAAGUCAUUUUUAUUAGUCAUGUGUCGGGAAGGGCAAUGAAAGCAUCAGCUUGCCUGGAUAUUUCAACCUUUCUUUGAUGCAUGCCAGAAACUGCUCUCACGUCUCCAAUUGUUUCAUCACUUAUCUGUUAGGAAUGGCAAAUUGCAAAAUACUUGGACAUGAAAAACUCAGACUAGAAGGAAAUGCUUCAAUCAGUGCCUAAAAGGCUUCUAACUUUAUACCUUAGCUUUCCUUUGCUUUCUGACUAGAAGUUCCAGUGCGACUGACAUUCCUUCAAACCAUGGAAUUUUCAUUUAUUUUUUUGAUAAUCGUGGUGUCUGGGCCAACUUUUGUGCACCUCGACUAAUUCCAUGGAAUACCUGUCACCUCCUACCAACACAACAAGUACUAAUACCAGUACUAGAUAACUCUAUCCACCAAGGCUAGGACAGAUGGGAAGAAGUUCAAAAACACUAAGACCAUGCCACAAAAGAUUCCUUUGGAGGAUUUCUCCAAAAAAUUGGAAAUGCUUAUUACAUCAUUUUUCACUCAAUUCAUUCUUCUAACAAAUGUCAUCUCUCUUUUGCCUAGUUCAUCUUUUUGCUUAUGUGUUCUAGUCCAUAUAUUGUUGAUUGUAGCCAUGACAUCUUCCUUUUACGCAUUUGCAAAAAAAUAAAUUGUUUGAGCCUUCGAGGGCUCAAAACGAUCUUCAUGUAUCUAGAUUCCUGUCUGGUGCAAUUCCUCUAAACAAUGUCUGUCAUGCACUUGUUGUAUACAAUUAUCUUUGUGUUGUUGAAACAACUAUUCUUCAUUUUUUACCGUUUGGACUAGAAAUUCAUUAUACUACUGUUGUGCUUAAAUUUGAUGAAUUACUUUACCUAUGACAGUGCAAAGGAGGAGACCGUUGCUAUCCUUGAAAGACACUCACUACUGGAAGAUGGAACCGGAGAUUAGCAAGCCGCUGUUCAAGUUGAAGCUGUUCAGCAAAACGAACCUCGUGCCUGAGUUUGUAAAGUACAAUUCAUAAAAACUUGACUCGAUGCAGUUGUGCUUCCUUUCUGUCUUUGGAAAGCUUUCGUGUUUCUAUUUGGAGUCGAAAUCACUUCGAGUAGAGGAGAGGAACACACGUUUGUUCAUGCAUUGUUUAGUUUGUUAAUUGAAGUGUUCUAGUCACUUACUAAAUAGGAUUCAAAGUGUGUUUAUCAUUUCCCAUUUGAGAGCAUUUACAAUGUAAUGAAUCAUGUUGUAACAUGAAAACCUCAUAUUUUGAAUUUUUUGACUUUUGAGAUUCAUUAGUGUCUUGCUUAUGAAUAAUGAAUGGAAAAAAGUUCUAUUUAUUCCUCAAAAAUGUCAAAUGAUUUUGAUUUACUCAAUGUCUUUUUUUUUUGGUAGAAAUAUUUACUCCAAUGUCAAGUUGGUUUUAUUUGUUAAAAGUUAUGUUCAAUCAAGAGUAUGCAAUAGUAUAUCAUUUUGAAUUUCAAAUUAUUUGUCGUGAUUUCUAAAAAUAGUUAUUCCAAAUUAUUUAUUAUUUUAGAAAUUCAAGAUAAGAAUCAAGGGUUUUUCGGAAACAAUCUCUCUAUAGGGAUAAGGUUUGCUUACACUCUAUCAUUCUAAAACUUUACUUGUAAAAUUUUGUUGAAUAUGUUGUUGUUAGAAGUUCAAGAUAAAUUAAUUAUUCUUUUCUCGUUUUUAUCCUUACUUGUAACUGCGUUUUUGGAUAGUAUUGCCACUUUAAUUAUUGGAUGAUAACACAUAAAUGAAGUAAAUAUUUGUUGAAGGAAAAUUAUAUCUCAAUACAUAAAUAUAUAAUGGUACGAUAGUUAAAAAAAGUUUCUUAAUUAAUAAGUACUUUUUAAAGAAGAGUGUAAAAGAGAAACACUGACAAAUGAUUUGAGACGGAAGGAUUACACUUUAUCUCGGGAUUAUCGUACGAAUUCACGGACUAAAUUAUCUUGGGAGUAUAGUAAAAAUUCACAGACUAAAUUAUCUCGAAAUUUCAAUCCUGAGAUUUAAUGGGAUAUUCAAGAUUAAGGUAAUUGAGAUCAAAUUUAUAUUGUUGUUUGGUUGACAAUUGGUUGACAAUACACAUUGAUCAUAUUGUCAACCAAACAUAAUAUAAAAUUAAUCCAAAACUUUAUCCCGCAUAUCAAACAACACAAACUAAAUCAUCCUGAUUAUAGUCCUAAAAUUAUUAUUCUUAGACUAAUUUUUCCCAUCUGGAUUAAGGUAAGAUUUUCAUAAUUAAGUCUGAGAUAAAAUUUAUACUACAUUUGAUUGACAAUAUAAAUUUAUCCUUACAUUAACCAAAUGUUUUAUUAAUUUUAUCCCCGUCUUACUUCUAAGAUACUUUACCUUAUCCGCGUAUUAAAACCAAUAAGGAACUAGCAAAAAAAAAAAGGAUUGAGGUGGCACUUAUCUUGGAAUUAAGAGGGGUUGUUUGAAAUAAUCGAAAACAAGAUGGGCCUUUUAGCACAUUUACAAUUUUCUCUCUUCAAAACCUCAAUGGAUCACCUCCAUUAGAGAAGCUUCAGUUAAACCCCAGACAGUUGAAGAAGAAGAAGAAAGACAUAAAGAAGAAAAAUAUGAAGAUAGAAGAGGUGCAAUCAACAAUCAAGAAUCAGAGAAUUGCAACUCAUACUCACAUUAAAGGCCUUGGUCUUGAGGUAAUUUCUUCAUUUACCCCAAAACCCCUCUUUGCCUCUGUUCACUAUUUUUGAGAUUUUAGGAAAAAUUUAAGGUGAAAUUGUUUUUAUUUGGUGUUUGGGUUCAUGGGUUGUUGAGUUUUGGUGUUAAAUUUGCAUAAAGCUGCUAUCUUGUGCUGGUUCUAGCCAACCUCUUCUUCGCUUUUGUGUAUUGUUUUUGACCUUUUAGGAAUUAUUUGGUUAACUUGCUGUUAUUUGGUGUUUGGGUUUAUGGGUUUUUGAGCUUUUGAGUUGUUGGUGGUAUAAUUUGCAUAAAGCUGCUAUCUUGUGCUGACUUCGCUUAUGUGUAUUGUAUUUGAUCUUUUAGGGAUUUUUUUGGGGUUAAUUUGUUCUUAUUUGGUGUUUGGGUUUAUGGGUUUUUGAGAUUUGGUGUUAAAAUUUGCAUAAAACUGAUAUCUUGUGCUAAUUCUACCCAACCGCCUCUUUGCUUCUGUGUACUGUUUUUGACCUUUUAGGCAGAUUUUUCCUGGUCAACAUGCUCUUAUUUGGUGUUUGGGUUUAAGGGAUUUUGAGUUUUGGUGUUAAAAUUUGGGUAAAGCUACUAUCUUGUGCUGGUUUAACUCAAACCCCCUCUUCACUUUUGUCUACUAUUUUUGAUCUUUUAGGAAUUUUUUUGGGUAAACUUGCUUGCUCUUGUUUGGUGUUUGGGUUUAUGGGUUUUUGAGUUAUGGUGUUAAAUUUGCUUAAAGCUGAUAUCUUGUGCCGGUUCUACCCAACCCCUCUUGGUCUGUGGUUACUAAUUAAUACCCUUUUUAGGAGAUUAUUUGGAUUAGUUUUCUUUUGGGAGUUUGUAUUGAGGGUAUUUGGACUAGCUGAUAUAUUUCCCUAAAGUUGUUAUCUUCUGCUGGUUCUUUACAACUUAUUUGGAUGGUUGUUACUCAUUGUAUUGUUAAUCUAAGUACAAUGUUUGUUUUGAUUGUUAGUUACAUUUUUGUGCAUUGUAUUGUUAAAUCUCCUGUAACAUCGAGAAGAACAUUUUAUGUAAGAGUGGUUGGAUUGUAAUGUUAUUUCUCUUACCCAUUGUACCUUUACUUAUUGUUUCAUAAUCUUAUUUCCCUAUUUAUCCUCUUUCUAGUGAACUCAACCCUAUAGUCUAUUAGACCUCUCCGCCUCACAUUUCUAGUUGCUUCCCAUUGAAAUGAUGGGUAACUACUAGCAACCAUCUGAACAAGCUAUUAGUUACCAAACACUUUCUUGCAUUUGAUGUUUAACUUUCAUGUAUGUGUGUAAUGAUUUGCUAACAAAUGGGUGAUUAAAUGUGACUAUGUUGUGUUAUAUGAUAGCCCAAUGGGACACCACUACCAUUGGCAGCUGGGUUUGUAGGUCAGGCUGCAGCCAGAGAAGCUGCAGGGCUUGUGGUUGAUAUGAUACGCCAAAAGAAGAUGGCUGGUCGGGCUUUACUGCUAGCUGGUCCGCCUGGCACAGGGAAGACAGCUCUUGCCCUUGGUAUAUCACAAGAACUUGGAAGCAAGGUGCAUUCUUUGUACUCUUUUGAUUGUGGAUUUAAUGCUUCUAUUUUAUCAAACUUAUUAUGUGUGAACUUUAUUUACCAGUAUUGGAAUGAAAUGGGCUCAAAUAGAGUGGAAUUCAUAUAGAGGAUUCAAUGAUUCAAAUAACCGAGCCCAACUAGCUUAGGGUGCAAUUGAUUGAUUGAAUAUUGAUAAUGUGUGAGCUGAUUGGGCAUUUUAAUUUCUCCUUGUUUAUUGAGAUGAAAUUUACUUAAAAUUUUAUUAGGGUGAGCAAUCCAAAAUAUAGCCUGUGCCAUAAUUGUUGCAUUGACUUCAAUAUUGCAGGUUCCAUUUUGCCCGAUGGUUGGAUCCGAAGUGUUUUCAUCAGAAGUGAAGAAAACUGAGGUUUUAAUGGAAAAUUUCCGACGAGCUAUUGGUCUCCGUAUCAAGGAAAAUAAGGAAGUUUAUGAAGGAGAGGCAAGUCCCCUAGUCUAUCCCAUUUGUCGUUUCAAUUUUGCUAGUCUUUGAUACAAUAAUUCUGCAAUGAUUUUUUUUUUGUUGUGAAGUUGAUCUUCAUUUGUUUAUUUUUUUUAAUGUAGGUGACUGAACUAUCUCCAGAAGAGGGUGAGAGUGUGACAGGUGGAUAUGGUAAAAGCAUUAGUCAUGUUAUAAUUGGGUUAAAAACUGUCAAAGGUACCAAACAGUUGAAGCUUGACUCCACAAUAUAUGAUGCCUUAAUUAAAGAGAAGGUAAGUCUGCAACAUUACUUGAGCCGAGGGUCUAUCGGAAACAGUCUCUCUACCCUCACAAGGUAAGGGGUAAGGCUGCAUACAUACCACUCUCCCCAAACCCCACUUGUGGGAUUACACAAGGCUUGUUGUUGUUGUUGUAAGUUCUGCAACAUAUCUGUCAGUGAAGUAUCAAAUUUUUUAAUAUGUUUGAUAAGCAGGAUAAUGAGGAUAUACAAUAUUUCCUCUUUCUUAACAUCCGAUGUUUGAAAUCUAGACUGAAGCAUUUUUCUCUUGAGUAAAUUAAGUAACCUUCAUGUCAUUCUUAUUAAUCAUGCUCUUAGAAGUCACUGGGGAAAUUGCAUUUAGUCUUUAAUUUACUUCAGUCUCAUUUAUGCUUAUUCUGCAUGGGCGCUUAUUCUUCUCUGUUGGUAUCUCCUGCCUCCAUGAUAUAUGUGCAGGUAGCUGUUGGUGAUGUCAUUUACAUUGAAUCGAACAGUGGAGCAGUUAAAAGAGUGGGCAGGAGUGAUGCUUUUGCUACAGAAUUUGAUCUUGAGGCUGAGGAGUAUGUUCCACUUCCUAAAGGAGAGGUUCACAAGAAGAAGGAAAUAGUCCAGGUUCUUCUCAUUUUUUUGUUUUGCUAUGGCACAGAUAAAGAUUACCCUGGCAUGUAUACAUGUAGUUGUUUUUCUCAAAUAGUCUAUUUGUUCUAUGGCUUAGCCAUGAAAUACUCUUAUUUUGGGUGCUUUAAAGAUCAUAGUUCAUCUUUGCGAGCACACUUGAAUGUUUGAAGGGUAUAAAAUUCUGUAUAUUAUUUGGAGUGGUGAGGAAAGAGAUUUCUUAGCUAGAUUGUGAUGACCAGAAAUUCAGGCUCCCGAUAACGAAUAUCUUAUUGGUUUGGUUAUCGGUUUAAGGCACCGAUAAACCUACCCGGUAAUACACAAAACCGGACCAAACCGACUGAUAAGCACCCCUAUAGUCCAUAGCACUUACAACUUAAUAUAGUGGUAGGUUUAAAGCACCCAAGUACCUGAUUUUGACACAAGUUUUUUUAGGAGGAAAUCAGCUGUCUCCUUAUUGCAAUAUUUAUUUAUCCGAUCUUCUAUAGAUUACCUGCCAUAAUUGCCUGCUUGUGAGAUUUUGAUCAAACUAAAUAUGCAAGCAUCCGUAUUUUUUUGUUUUAGACAAAUGAUAUCACUACUUUAAUGGCCUUUUGUGAGGGAAAUCAAUUGCAGGAACAUGAAAACAAAAAAUUCUGUACUUAAUUGCAUGCAGUAUUGUUUUCCACCAGGAUGUUACAUUGCAUGAUCUUGAUGCUGCAAAUGCACGGCCACAAGGAGGACAAGAUAUAUUGUCCCUUAUGGGUCAAAUGAUGAAACCUAGAAAAACCGAGAUUACUGACAAGUUGCGGCAAGAGAUAAACAAGGUAGAUCUAUUGGUUCUAGUAGUCCUCUGAGACUGUGAAUUUAGUAUUUAACGCAUGCGUCAUUGUGGUCUUAUUUCUCUGCAGGUUGUCAAUCGUUAUGUUGACGAAGGUGUUGCAGAACUUGUUCCUGGUGUCUUAUUUAUUGAUGAGGUUCAUUUUCCAUUCAUAUAACAUCGUGUUUGAUAAUUCAUUUAACACCACCCUGUCCCCUCCGGUAACUAAUUGGAGAAAACAUCUUUGGCGGCAGGUUCAUAUGCUUGAUAUGGAAUGCUUUUCAUACUUGAAUCGUGCCUUGGAAUGUUCACUGUCUCCAAUUGUGAUUUUUGCCACUAACAGAGGCAUUUGUACUGUCAGGUAUAUGAGUGUCCAUGCAAAACCAAGCUUUAAAAAUACAUCAAGUUGGAAAGUUUCCAUUUUAUUGAUUUCUUUAUCCUGGGGCUUUUUAUAAUUUGCUUUCUGGCUGCAUUAAAUCAAACCAUUGUGUGUUGAAUGAAGUGGUUAGAAAUACAGGACAAAUUGUCACUUUUCUAUAUCAAAAUAUGCCUACAUGGGCCAUGCAAUUAUCGAUUUCAAACUUACAUGACAAUUUGUUUGUCUGAUUUUGACUUGGCACGGAGUUUUAAGAAAAUAAAAGAACUUUUGAAUCUUGUGGUCUUAGACUAAAGAUUUGUAGAAUAUACCAAAAUGUCCUUUAAUCUUGUGCUCUUAAAAGACUUACACUAAUGAUUUGUAGAAUGUAUCAAAAUGCCCUAUAAUUUUGUGGUCUUAUGUGGAAAGUUGAAAAUACAGAGUUGCCAAAGAAGGAAAGAGACAUUUUAUUUUGAAACGGACUAAUAAGGGAAGUAAGAUCAAACAAAUUGAAACGGAGGGGUACAUGUUUUUGGCUUUGUAGACACCUUAGAAGUAUGUACAGAUACAUGUAAUGUCUGAGAUAAAUUAGUUGUCACCAACAAACGUAUCUCUUUGCAGAGGAACAGACAUGACUAGUCCACAUGGCAUUCCACUUGACUUGUUAGAUCGGUUGUUGAUUGUCAGAACGGAAACUUAUGGUCCAGCUGAAAUGAUACAGGUUUGCCGUUCAUGCUAGUUUGUUCAACAUUUAUUUGUACAUCUUAUUGAUCUCGACCUGAACAUGUGCAAUUUCGUUGCAUUUUCUUGAUGGAUGUUUCUUUUGAGUGCCUGGGCAGAUAUUAGCUAUACGUGCUCAGGUGGAGGGACUAGAAAUAGAUGAAGAGAGCCUUGCGUAUUUGGGAGAGAUUGGACAACAAGCUUCUUUAAGGUCGGAUUUAACUUGUUGGUUUUGUAACGCCAGAAUGUCAAUUCAUUUUUUUAAUUAGAAGUAACCGAUGCUCAAUUCUUCUCUUUGUCCAGGCAUGCUGUUCACCUGCUAUCGCCAGCUAGUGUAGUCGCCAAAAUGAAUGGUCGUGAUAAAAUCUGCAAGGUACUUGUCCCGUCACAUUCUUUAUCAUUUGCCUAUAUGAGGUCCGAACGAUAUUUUACUUAGCCAUUCACUUUUUAGGUGGAUCUCGACGAAGUGACUUCAUUGUACCUAGAUGCAAAGUCUUCUGCAAGACUUCUUCAGGAGCAGCAGGAUAGAUACAUCUCAUGAUAAAUUGUGUACUAUGGUAUCAAUUCUCAAGCUUAUUUUUUUAUAGGUGUUCAUACCCAAAUUGCAUUUUGCAAGUCAAUUUGUUUCAUUUAAGAUUUUGCUGUUUCAUGAGAUUGCAAUAUAACUAGGCUUCUGGAAUAGGAGAGGCUCUCUUCUAUAUUUAUAUCUUCCCUCCUAUUGUAUCGUCCUAGUAGAUCGCUCCCGCUUGACUCUACUUGAAUAGAGGAGAGACAUAAGUUCUACAAACGUGUAUGUAAGUUAAGCAUGACAAUUGGUUCCUUGCUUCAAGAUUAGAUUGAAGGCAUUUUGCCAGCAAUGUUUGAACAAGACUCAAGGCAAUAGGCUCACCUUUCGGUUCAUUGCAUGGAAAUGACAAAAAGAGAAAAGGAAGCUUUCAGUGGACACAAGCCCUCAAGACUUUGGGAAGUUUGCCCUAGGGUAGUCCUUCCUUUGGAGUUGCUUUUUUCAUUUUUCAAAGUGGAAUUCCUAGCUCUCAUCUAUGACAUGUGUCAAACUCCACUUUUGUUGUUAUCAAGUGGAAUGAUUCAUUCAACCUCGGUAUUAGUUACCAAGACGUCAGAGUGUCAAAUGUGAAUUCUGAUACUCUUAGCUGUAAAUGCAUGUAUGAUGUAGCAUUCUUGCACUAAUGGUUGUUCAUGCAAACCUUAAAAGGACAACUCGAUGCAUAAAAUAUUUUGCAUUUAUAUGAAGAAAAACAAAAGUUGAUAAAAAUUGUCACACUUAGGUUUUGCUAGUGGCUUCUAUUAUAUUCUCAAACCUCCCUAUGGAGAGUUUCGUAAAAGUUUUGCAAAAAAAAAUCAAUCGGAAGCUAUAUCAUCAAAAUAUUCAUUAGUAAUACCCAAAAUGUCCAAAAAAUGGUGAAGCUUCACGUACUGCUACCUCAACUCAUGCGGAGGGUUUCGUGAAGGUUAUGAAAAUUUUUUGUUCGGAAGUCAUAUCACCAAAAUAUUCAUUGGUUAACACCCGAAAAAACUAGAAAAAUCACCUAAAUGCCCAAAAUAUAUAUAAAAAAUGGUAGGGGCUUCACGUACUGUUCUCCUAAUUCCCUAUGGAGAGUCUCGUAAAGGUUUUGCAAAAAUUGUUCGAAAGUCGUAUUAGAAAAAUAUUAAUAUGUUAAUACACACGAAAAAUCAAGAAAAUUGCGCAGUUCCUCAAAUUUAGCUCGUAAAUGCGAAUAUAUGUCUGAAAAAUGGUCGGACUGUAUGUAGUACUUCCCCAACUCAUUACGGAGGUCCUUGUAAAGUUUUUUGAGAAAUUUUUUUGGGAGCAUUGAGGAGCCAGAUCCAUAGGCUACACACGAAAAACCAAGAAAAUCGCAUAAUUCCUAAAAGUUGGUUCGUAAAUGCGAAAAUAUGCCUGGAAAAAACAAUAGGAUUGUACGUAAUGCUUCCUCAACUCAUUACCGAAGUCUUUGUAAAGUUUUUUCAAAUUUUUUUGGGUGCUCCGAAGCGCCAGAUCCAUGAGCUAAUACACAUGAAAAACCAAAAAAGUCACCUAAUUCCUAGAAAUUAUCUCGUAAAUGCAAAAAUAUGCUUGAGAAAAAAUAGUGGGACUAUACAUAAUGCUUUUCCAACUCAUUACGGAGAUUCUCAAAAAGUUUUUUUCAGAAAAAAAUUGUGUGUGCUCCGAGGGGCCAAAUACAUGGCCUAAUACACACGAAAAACAAAAAAGUCGCAUAAUUCCUAAAAGUUAACUCGUAAAUACGAAAGUAUGCCUGAAAAAAUGGUGGGACUGUACGUAAUGCUUUCCCAACUCAUUACAGAGGUUCUCAUAAAGUUCUGUCAAAAAAAUAAUUGGGUGCCUCGAGGUGCCAGAUCCAUGAUCAAGAAAGUCGCGUAAUUCCUUAAAGUUAGCUCGUAAAUGCGAAAAUAUGCCUGAAAAGUGAUGAGAUUAUACGCAAUCAUUCCCCAAAUCAUUACGGAGGUCCUCAUAAAGUUUUUUUCAGAAUUUUUUUGGGUGCUCCGUGUCGCACCCUGUUUCGAACCGGCCGAAAUAGUUCACAACAUAAUGUGGUUGACACUCUGAUUUUGGAAAAAAAUGUUUUUGUUUGUUUUAGAGUCGCCACCUAAAUUUUAAGGAAAAUAUUAGGAAAACCAUUUUUUAUUUAUGUAAAUGUAAACUCUGUUUUGAUUUUGCGAAACCAGUGAGAUUCUGAGUAAGGGUUUUGGUUACUCGAGGGGAAGGUGUUAAGCACCCCUCAAAGCCUAUCCAACGAUAGUCCUUAAACUUAAUUUAGGAAAAUAUAAUUAGGAAAACGUGUUUAUUUAUUUGUUUUAAAAUCAAUGAUAAGUAAUUAGUUAGUUUAAGAAAAGGGUACAAUACAAGGUACGACACAUAUAUGUCUGAUGAAAUAAAUUUAAUAGUAGUUUUUUUUUAACAUAUUGUAAAAAUAAAUAAGUGUACUUAAAUGUAUUGAUAAAUUUAUAUGUAAAAUAUAUAUAGUUGUAUCAUAAUAAAAUUAUCUUAAAAAUAUAUAGAUGUUGAAUUUGCGAGAACAUGUCGUCUUAUUUAAGACGUGAAAUAAAAACAAGGUAGUAGUUGGGUGUGAAUACGUAAUAAUAUGUGAUGUGUAAUUUGAGUGAAAAUAUAUAAACUGGAGUUUUCUAAAAUAAAAUAAAAUAAAUAAUACUAGAUGUUAAAAUGUUAAAAUAUUAAAAUAUUAUAUAAAGGUUUGUGAUCUUAAGUAUGGUAUGUACACAUAGGUUGUUUAAAACAUAUGAAUAUUCAUUAUUUAUUUACAUGUUGGGAGAAAUUGACAAUAGAUUAUAUGUAGUAAAUAAUAUGUAUAUGAAAGUGUAGGGAUUUAUAAAUUAUAAAAAAAUAAAUAAGUAACUUCGUAAAAGAGAUAAUAGAUAUGAGAAAAAUAAUAUAAAGGGUAACAAAAUACUAAGUCAUGUAUGGAGAAAACUAAGUAUAAAAUAUAGAAUUUAUACCUCUUAUGUGCAUGCAUAUAUAUGUAUGUACCUUGUAUUUGAACCUGUUGGCAUAUCUAAAAUUUUGAAAUGGCAUGUUAAAAGAUAAAAAUGUUUUUAGCCAUGUUUGAUCCAAAAAAAAGGUAAGAAUAGUCAAUAUACUUUAUAAAGAGGUGAUGUAAAGAGUGUAAAAAAUAUAAUUUGAAAUAGCGUGUUACAAGAUUAAAGUAUUUUUUAGCAAUGCUUGAAUCAAAAAAUAAGAAUAGUCAAUAUAUAUAUUUUAUAAGGGGUGAUGUAAAGAGUAUAAAAUAGACCUAACUAUUAGGACUGAUUCUAUAGUCACAUUUGUUUUGUUAUAUAUAUAUAUAAGCCUACUUUCCUACUUAUUUUUUUUAAUAAAAAAUAUAAUUUCACGAGUUAAUUAGUUUAAAGUUAAUUAUUUCUUAGCCUUUAUGUAUCUCUACAUUCAUUUGGAAGUCCCAAUUUAUGGGUUUUAUUUUUUCCUACUUAAAUACUUAAAUGAAUAUUAUUUCACCCUCUUGAAACUUCAUUUGGAAAUCUUUUAAAACCAUAAGCCCCUCUUUUCAACUUAAAAGGCCUAAAAGAAUGUUAUAAGUAAAAUGUUAACCCAUUUUUUAGAAAAUAUCUUUUGUAUCAUUUGUUCUAAAGGUGUUUAAACUAAAUUCAUAAACAAAUAAUAUUAGUCCACGUAAAACAAGCUUCAAAAUAAAAGACAAACAAUAUAUCAAAGCUUGUAAGUAAAGGUUAGCCAAUAUAUCCAAACAAUAUAAUUAAGACUCGAAAAGAGGAAAAUUAAGAAAUAUUGGACUCCUAAUUUGCGAGGCUCCAAGCGUUGCGAUGAUCCUAAUUUGCUGUUGGCCUAAUACUUUAGGCCAAUAACGAGUUCCAAAGUAGAAACUCCAGCCCUCCGGUUGUACAUGAAACAUAAUAAAAGAGAUAAGAGGAUUAGAAUACAUAAAUUAUGAAAUGAAGCAUAAAAUGAUUGUAGCAUAUAAAAAUGAUUAUCAAAUCUUGAUCCAGUUAAUUUGAUCAAAAUCUCCACUCCUGAGCGUGCAAAACAAACGUUUGAGGGGGUGGGAUAUAUGACACAACGCACACUCUUUAGUCGAUCCUAAAAUGUAUACAUGAACACAAUCUAUUCAACCUAAAAAAUAAAUAGCUUAACCGAAUCCUAAAAAACGAGAUAAGGAAUAAGAAAAUACCAUAUUUUGACUACGUAGCUUUAAGAUUAAAAUAUGAAUUCAAACUAAAGAAGUAAAGCUUCAUAUACAUAGAAACUCUCCAACUAGAUUAUUUUAUUUUAUUUUAAUAUGGUUUAAUCAAAGAACAAAUGUUUUUUCUUUUUAAAGAGGAUUUGAAUAUAACAAGAGUAUACUGACUUGGUGGUAACUUGAAGGUUAUUAACAUUAAUCUCAUUGCAAACCAACAAUAGAAAAUGAUCAAAGCCAAACUUAAACAAAGAAAAUCUGAAGUUAUGUUAAAUAAGAAUGAAAAAAAAUGAAUUGGUUGCAAUCUAAAAAUAAUAAAAACUAUGCAUUCUGAUUCAUCUUAUUUUGCACACAUGAGAGAAUAAUUUGCAUGAUCAAACGUAUUUUAAAUUCAAGGAGAUUGUUUUCUUCUAAUAGUGUAUGAAUAAUGUGUUAGACAUAAAAAAAAAUAUCCAUAGCUACUAACACAUGAUCACAUUCAUAUACUCCUAACUAAUUUGACCAAAAGGACCAAUUCUUCAAGAUGUCGAGCAAAAUUAGGCGAGAAAAUGCCAAUGAAUGCAUUCACGAUUUUUAGUUAGAGAAAAAGAAAAUAUGCAACAUGGUUUAGUCUUACCACACAAUAACACAACAAGAUUGUACAAGAACAACAAACGGAAAAAAAAAAAAAAGACUAUUAUAUGGCUAAAAGGAUAAGUAUAAACUCUAGCAUGAACUUUAAUGACUCUGACACUUGAUUAUGUAGAAUAAUGAAUCCUUGCUUUUCCAGAAAAUGAGUUAUAAUUUUCAUUAGUUAAAUUUAGCACAUAUCAGUAGGGAGGAUUUUAUAUCUAUGACAUGAAGCAAAUCGAGUGAUAUUCCAAAAAUCUACACAGACCAACAUCUUGGGUUGCAAACAAAUGAACUCAAUAGGGAAACAUAUCAUUUAUAAUCUCAAACUUUUGGAGGAAAACAAGAGACGAAUACUGAAAACAGAGGACAACUUCAACAUUUUCUUCACGGGACCAAACCAGAUGACAACAAAGGGAUAAAAGAUAAAUAAGGAAAAGGAUUUUACCUUGUGUUGAGCAACAAACUAGAGCUUUGCCGUCAAGAGAUUUCAACUUCAAACUUAUUCUCGAGAUACGAAUUCAAAAUCGAAAACAGAAGCUUGAAAGAAGAUCAGAAUUUUCUGGAAAAAAGAACCUAAUCCUUGAAAUGUGCUUUUAUUCCUCUUUUCUGUCUUUUUUCUCCCACCCCUUGAAUGAGAACCAAAGGGCUGAUUUUAUAGUCGAAUUUGAGGGAGGCUUUCCAACCUCAGACCCAUUAGAUUAAGGGCGUAACCAAUCAAAAUCCGAUGGUUCUUCGCGUCCCCUAUUUUUCAGGCGGGGUAAUGAUGAUGGUCGAGACUUCUAGGCCUGCCUUGGGUUAGAAAUAAAUCGAAAAGAUGUAAAGUUGAUAGAAAGGGGGGGUUGUGAUUGAUGGAUGGCGGAUGGAGGAAGAGGUGACGUUGGAGACCGCCGGAUAUUGUCGUUUUCCGGCGGUUCAUGGCCGUUUCUUUGGCAGCGAGCGAUGGGUGAUUGACGAGAGAGGACGAAGGGGCAUGGGGAAGGUGAGGACGUCUGGGGAAGAGGAAGGAACAGUGCCUCCUUAUUUUGGAAAAAGAAGAAGACGUUGGGGAGGGUAUGCGGCUGAUGAGAAUUGUACUUAUUUUGGGAAAGAUGAAUUAUUAUUCUUUUGGGAUUUAAUUUAGGCCGUCCGAUCAUUUGAUCGGACGGUUGGUAAAAAAUAAAGAGUUAAAAAUAAAUAAAUAAUAAUUAUAUAUAUAAUAGUAAAAGGAUGAAUUAAUUGAGGCCGUUAGAUUAGAUUGUAAGGCUGAGAUCGAAUAUAAAGAAGCACAAUCCAUGUGCUCGCCUACGUGGCAUACACGGAUUGGCCGGUUUAAUAAGACUUGGAUUGUCAAAUUUGCUCAAAUUAAAUUCAUUUAAAUCAUAACUACUUUCUUUAUUAGAUAGCCAUAAGUGAUAAUUAUUUUGCAAGAUUAACUUAUUUGAUAAAAUUAGUCACUCUUAAAAUUAAAUUAAUAUAAAUUAGUAAAUCAUUAAUUAACUAAGCUUUCCAAUAUUAAUAAAUACACGAAAAAUAUCUAUUGUGACAAAAGGAAUUAUAUUUGAACCAAAAUAGAUUCAAUUCUUAAGAAGAACAACUAUUUAAUUUAAAAUGAGAAAGUAAGUAGUAAUAUAAUAUAUUUAAUUUUUAUAAGAAAUAACAUUGAAGAAAUAAAUUUAUCAAGUCAAAUAAGUAAUUAUUUUUUUAUUUAUUUUGUAUUCCUAAAAAUUUCAUAACAUAUAUAUUUUAUUAUUAUUAUUAUAAUUACUAUAGUUAAAUGUGGAGAGCCAAAAUUGGGUGUCAACACUCCGAGACGCCAAAACCAUGGGCUAAUGCACAUGAAAAAACAAAGAAAGUCGCGUAAUUCAUAAAAGUCAGCUCAUCAAUGCGAAAAUAUGCCUGAAAAAAUUCUGGGACUGUACAUAAUGCUUCCCCAACUUACUACAGAGGUCUUAAUAAUGUUUUUUCAGAAAAUUUUUUUGGGUGCUCCAAGGCGCCUGAUCCACGAGCCUUAAAGUUGCCUCUUAAAUACAAAAAUGUUGGCUCUUAAAUACGAAAAUGUGCUUGAAAAAAACAGUAGGAUUGGAUGUAAUACUUCCCCAACUCAUUAGGAAGGUCCUCAUAAAGUUUUUUUUUUAAAAUUGUGGGUGCUCUGAGUCGCCAGAUCAAUGGGCUAAUACACAUAAAAAAUCGAGAAAGACAGGUAAUUCUUAAAUGUUGGCUUGUAAAUAUGAAAAUAUGCCUGAAAAAACGAUGGGACAAUACAUAAUGUUUCCCCAACUCAUUAUGGAGGUCCACGUAAGGUUUUUUCAUAUUAUUUUUUUUGGGUUUUUAGACACUAGAUCUAUGGGCUAAUACACGAAAAAUUAGAAAAUUUGGGCGAUUCUUAAAAAAAGGCAUAUAAAUGCGGAAAUGAGCGUUAAAAAAAUGGUGUGAGUAUACAUGAAGGUUCCCCAAUUCAUUACAGAGAUCCUCAUAAAGUGUUUUGAGAAAAAAAAAUUGGGAUCUCCGGGCGCCAGAUCCAUGGGCUAAUACACAUGAAAAAUUGAGAAAUUUUAGUAAUUCUUUAAAAAAAACACCUUAUAAAUGCGAAAAUGGGCGUUAGAAAAAUGUUGUGAGUAUAUAUGAAGGUUUUCCAACUCAUUAUGGAGGUCAUUAGAAAGUUUCUUGAGAAAAAUUUUGGGUGCUCCGGGCGCCAAAUUCAUACAUACGAACAAUACGAGAAUUUGGACGAUUCUUAAAAAAUGCUUGUAAAUGCGGAAAUAGACAUUUAAAAAUGGUCUGAGUAUACGUAAAGGUUCCCCAACUCAUUACAAAGGUCCUCAUAAAUAUUUUUUGAGAAAGAAAUUUGGAUUCUCCGGCCGCCAGAUCAAUGGGAAUUUGAAAGAUUCUUAAAAAAAGGCUUGUUAAUGCGAAAAUGGGCGUUAAAAAAAUGGUGUGAGUAUACGGGAAGAUUCUCCAACUCAUUACGAAGGUCCUUAUAAAGUUUUUUGAGAAAAAAAAUUGGGUGCUCUGGGUGCCAGAUCCAUGGGCUAAUACACACAAAAAAUAAGGGAAUUUGGAUGAUUCUUAAAAAAGGCUUGUAAAUGUGGAAAUUAGCGUUAAAAAAAUUGUGUGAGUAUACGUGAAGGUUCCCCAACUCAUUAUAGAGGUUCUUAUAAAGUUUUUUGAGAAAAAAAAUUUGGGUGCUCUGGGUGCUAGAUCUACGGGAUAAUAUACACGAAAAAUCGGGGAAUUAGGGAGAUUCUUAAAUAAGGGCUUGUAAAUGCGGAAAUGGGCGUUAAAAAUUAGUGUGAGUAUACGUGAAGGUUCUCCAACUCAUUAUGCAGGUCCUAAUAAAGUUUUUUGAGAAAAAAUUUCUGGAUUCUCCGGGCGCCAGAUCCAUGGGCUAAUACACACGAAAAAUUAGGAAAUUUGGGCGAUUCUAAACAAAAGGCUUGUAAAUGCGGAAAUGGGCGUUAAAAAAAUGUUGUGAGUAUGCUUGAAAGUUCUCUAACUUAUUACAGAGGUCUUCAUAACUUUGGGUUCUCUGGGCGCCAGAUCCAUGGGUUAAUACACACGAAUAAUCGGGGAAUUUGGGCGAUUCUUAAAAAGAGGCUUGUAAAUGCGAAAAUGGGCAUUAAAAAAUUAUGUGAGUAUACGUGAAAGUUACCAAACUCAUUAUAGAGGUCCUUAUAAAGUUUUUUGAGAAAAAAAAAUUGUGUUCUCUAGGCACCAGAUCCCUAAGCUAAUACACAUGAAAUAUUGGGAAAUUUGGGCGAUUAUUUGAAAAGAGCUCGUAAAUGCGGAAAUGGGCGUUAAGAAAAUAGUGUGAGUAUUCCUGAAGGUUCCCUAACUCAUUACGAAAGUCCUCAUAAAGUGUUUUGAGGAAAAAAAAUGCGUCAGAUCCAUGGGCUUAAUUAACACACGAAAAAUUGGAAAAUUUGAGCGAUUCUUAAAAAAGGUCUUAUAAAUGCAGAAAUGGGCGUUAAAAAAUUGUAUGAAUAUACAUGAAGGUUCUCCAACUCAUUAUAGAGGUCCUCAUAAAAUUUUUUGAGAAAAAAAUUUAGGGUGUUUCGAGCGCCACAUCCAUAGGCUAAUACACACGAAAAAUCAGAAAAUAUAGACGAUUCUAAAAACAAGGCUUAUAAUUAUAAUUAUGGAAAUGGGCGUUAAAAAAAUAGGGUGAGUGCACGUGAAGGUUCUUCAACUCAUUAUAGAGUUCCUCAUAAAGUUUUUUGAGAAUAAAGUUUUGGGUUCUUCGGGUGCUAGAUCGAUGGGCCUAAUACACGCGAAAAAUUGUGAAAUUUGCGUAAUUCCUAUAUAAGGGCAUGUAGGUGCGGAAAUUGACCUGAAAAAAAUGGUGUUUGUAUACGUGAUGGUUCCACAACCCAAUAUGGAGGUCCUCAUAAAAAAAUUUGAGAAAAAAAUUAGGGUUUUUCGAGCGCCAGAUCUAUGAGCUAAUAAACACGAAAAAUCGAGAAAUUUGGACGAUUCUUUAAAAAUGGCUUGUAAAUGCGGAAAUGGGCGUUAAAAAUUGGUGUGAGCAAACGUGAAGACUCCCCAACUCAUUACGGAGGUUCUCAUAAAGUUUUUUGAAAAAAAUAUUGGGUUUUUUGAUCGCAAGAUCCAUGGGAUAAUACAUACGAAAAAUUAAGAAAUUUGGGCGAUUCUUUAAAAAGGGAUUGUAAAUGCGGAUAUGGGCGUUAAAAAAUGAUGUGAGUAUACGUGAAGGUUUCCCAACUCAUUACAGAGAUCCUUAUAAAGUUUUUUGAGAAAAGAAUUUAUGGUGCUCUAGGGGAGAUCCAUGGUCUAAUACUCACGAAAAAUUAGGAAAUUUAGGUGAUUUUUAAAAAAGGACUUGUGAAUGUGGAAAUGGUUAUUAAAAAAUAGUGUGAGUAUAUAUGAAGGUUCCCCAACUCAUUAUGGAGAUCCUCAUAAAGUUUAUUGAAGAAAAAAUAUGGUGCUCCGGGAGUUAGAUCAAUAGGCUAAUACACAGAAAAAAUUAGGAAAUUUGGGAGAUCUUAAAAAAAGAGCUUGUAAAUGUGGAAAUGGGUGGUAAAAAAAUGGUGUGAGUAUGCAUGAUGGUUCCCUAACUCAUUACGGAGACCCUCAAAAGGUUUUUUGAGAAAACAAUUUUGGCUGCUUCAGGUGGCAGAUCCAUGGGCUAAUAUACACGAAAAUUAGGAAAUUUGGGCGAUUCUUAAAAAAAGACUUAUAAAUGCGGAAAUAGGCAAUAAAAAAAAUGGUGUGAGUAUAUGUGAAGGUUCCCCAACUCAUUAAAGAGGUUCUCAUCAAGUUUUUUGAGAAAUAAAAUUUGGGUUUUGUGGGUGCCAGAUCCGUAGGCUACACACAAAAAAUCAAGAAAUUUGGGCGAUUCUUAAUAAAAGGCUUGUAAAUAUGGAUAUGGGUGUUAAAAAAAUGGUGUGAGUAUACGUGAAGGUUUGCCAAAUCAUUACAGAGGUCAUCUUAAAGUUAUUUGACAAAAAAAAAAUUGAGUGCUUUGGUCGCCUGAUCCAUGGGCUAAUACACACGAAAAAUUGGGGAAUUUGGGCGAUUCUUAAAAAAAGACUUGUAAAUGCGAAAAUGAGCGUUAAAAAUGGUGUGAGUAUACGUGAAGGUUCCCCAACUCAUUACUGAGGUCCUCAUAAAGUUUUUUGACAAAAAAAAUUAGGUUCUACGGUCGCCAGAUGCAUCGGAUAAUACACACAAAAAAUUAGGAAAUUUUGGCGAUUCUUAAAAAAGACUUGUAAAUGCGAAAAUGGGCGUUAAGAAAUGGUGUGAGUAUAGGUGAAGUUUUUCAAAUUCAUUACGGAAGUCUUCAUAAAGUUUUUUAAGAAAAAAAUUCAGGUGUUCCGAGCGCUAGAUCUAUUGGGUAGUACACAUGAAAAAUUGGAAAAUUUAGGUGAUUCUUUAAAAUGGGACUGUAAAUGCGAAAAUGGGCGUUAGAAAAAUGGUGUGAGUUUACGUGAAAGUUCCCAACUCAUUACGGAGGUCCUCAUAAAGUUUUUAAAGAAAAAAAUUUGGGUGCUCUGGGCGCUAGAUCCAUGGGAUUAACACACGAAAAAUCAGAGAAUUUGGGCGAUUCAUAAAAAAAGCCUUGUGAAUACGGAAAUGAGCGUUAAAAAAUUGUGUGAGUUUACGUGAAUGUUACCCAACUCAUUACGGAGGUCCUCUUAAAGUUUUUUGGGAAAAACAUUUUUGGUGCUCCGGGUGCCAGAUCCAUGGGCUACUACAUACGAAAAAUCAGGUAAUUUGGCAAUUCUUAAAUAAGAGCUUGUAAAUGAGGAAAUGAGCGUUAAAAAAACAGUGUGAGUAUACAUGAAGCUUCCUCAACUCAUUACGUAGGUCUUCAUAAAGUUUUUUUAUAAAAAAAAAUCGGGUGCUUCGAAUGCCAGAUUCAUGGGCUAACAAAUAAAAAAUUAAGGAAUUUGGGCGAUUCUUAAAAAAAGGCUUGUAAAUGCACAAAUUUGCGAUAAAAAAAUAGUGUGAGUAUCUGUGAAGGUUCCUCAACUCAUUAUGGAGGUCCUCAUAAAGCUUUUUGAGGAAAGAAAUUAGGUGCUCUAGGAGCCAGAUCCAUGGGAUUAACACACGAAAAAUCAGGAAAUUUGGGUAAUUUUUUAAAAAGGGCUUGUAAAUGCGGAAAUGAGAGCUAAAAAUGGUGUGAGUAUACAUGAAGGUUUCCGAACUCAUUGCGGUUGUCCUCAUAAAGUUUAUUGAGAGAAAAAAUUGGGUGCUCCGGCCGCCAGAACAAUGGGUCAAUACACACGAAAAAUUUGGGAAAUUUGGGUGAUUCUUAUAAAAGGUUUUUAAAUGAUGAAAUGAGAGAUAAAAAAAUAGUGUGGGAAUACGUGAUGGUUCCCCAACUCAUUACGGAGGUACUCAAAAAUAAUUUCGAGAAAAUAUUUUUGGGUGCUUUGGGCGCCAUAUAUAUGGGCUAAUAUACACAAAAAGUCAAGGAAUUUGAGCGAUUCUUAAAAAAUGGUUUGUAUAUGCGAAUAUGGGCGUUAAAAAAAUGUUGUGAGUAUAUGUGAAGGUUCCCCAACUCAUUACGGAGGUCCUCAUAAAGUUUUUUGAGAAAAAAAAUUUGGGUGCUCUGGACGAAAAAUUGGGGAAUUUGGGCGAUUCUUAAAGCGUUAAAAAUGGUGUGAGUAUACGUGAAGGUUCCCUAACUCAUUGCGGAGGUCCUCAUAAAGUUUUUUGAGAAAAAAAAUUUGGGUGCUCUGGACGAAAAAUUGGGGAAUUUGGGCGAUUCUUAAAAAAAUGUUUGUAAAUGCGAAAAUGAGAGUUAAAAAAAUGGUGUUAGUAUACGUGAAGUUUCUCCAACUUAGUACGGAGGUAUUCAUAAAGUUUUAUGAGAAUAUUUUUUGGGUUCUCCAGGCGUCACAUCUAUGGGCUAAUACACACGAAAAAUCAGAGAAUUUGGGCGAUUAUUAAAAAAGGGCUUGUAAAUGCGGAAAUGAGAGUUAAAAAAUGAUGUGAGUAUACGUAAAGGUUCCACAACUCAUUACGGAGGGUCUUAUAAAGUUUUUUGAGAAAAACAAUUUGAGUGCUACGGGCGCAAUAUCCAUGGGCUCAUACACACAAAAAUUAGGGAAUUUUGGCGAUUCUUAAAAAAGGUCUUGUAAAUGCGGAAAAGGAUGUUAAAAAAUUGUGAAAGUAUACGUGAAGUCUCCCAACUCAUUACGGAGGUCCUCACACACGAAAAAUUGAGGUAUUUGGGAGAUUCUUAAAAAAGGGUUUGUAAAUGCUGAAAUGGGCAUUAAAAAAUGGUGUGAGUAUACGUGAAGGUUCCCAACUCAUUACGGAGGUCCUCAUAAAGUUUUUUGAGAAGAAAAAAAUUGGGUGCUCUGGGCGCCAAAUCCAUGGGCUAAUACACACGAAAAAUUGGAGAAUUUAGGCGAUUCUUAAAAAAGGACUUGUAAAUGCAGAAAUGAGCGUUAAAAAUGGUGUGAGUAUACGUGAAGGUUCCCUAACUCAUUGCGGAGGUCCUCAUAAAGUUUUUUGAGAAAAAUUUUUUGGUGCUCCGAACGUCAGAUCCAUGGGACACACGAAAAAUCAAAAAAAUUGGCGAUUCUUAAAAGUGUUUGUAAAUGCAGAAAUAGGCAUUAAAAAAAUGGUUUGAGUAUACUCGAAGGUUCCCCAACUCAUUACGGUAAUUCCUGUAAAAUGACUCCUAAAUAACCAAAAUAUGUUGAAAAUGGUGAGACAUUACGUAUUUCUCCCUUAACUCCCUACAGAGGGUUCCGUAAAGGUUUUGCAAAAAGGAAGUCAUAUCACCUAAAUAUUCAUGGUUUAACAAACACAAAAAACUAAGAAAAUCGCAUAAUUCUUGUAAAAUAACUCCUAAAUUCCCAAAAUAUGUGCAAUAAUUGGUGAGGCUUCAUGUACUACUACCACAACUCCAUACGGAGGGUUCCAUAAAUAUUUUGCAAAAAAUUCAUUCAAAAGUCAUAUCACUAAAAUAUUCAUGUAUUAAUCCAUACGAAAAACUGAGAAAAUCGUCUAAUUUCUAUAAAAUGAUUCCUAAAUGCCCAAAAUAUGUGCAAAUAUGGUGAGGCUUCAUGUACUGCUCCCACAAGUCCUUACGGAGGGGUUUUUUCUAAGAUUUUGCAAAAAAAAUAGUCUGGAAGUCAUUGUAGACAUUGAAAUUUUAUGGGACUAUACAAGAUGUGUUCAAUUCGAGUUAGGAUUCUACAAAGGUGUGUUCAAUUCCCAUUAGGAUUCUUGGAGGCUACUCAACCCUAAAUUCUAGUGCAUGCCUAUAUAAAGGGUACUAUAUUCCCUUAAAAGACAUCUUAAAUAUUCCACAAAUUCAUAGAAUAUUCAUAAGAAGAUCAAAUUCAAAUCAUCCUAAUUCAAGAAAUACGUCACUAACGACCCUCGAAUCAUGGAUAAAUCUUAUGAAAGAGGAAUCAAGGGAUCAAUAGAUUUGUAGUCACAAUUUUGAUGAAUAAAACUAUGUUUCUUCAUAUUUAAUUUGUGAGUGCAAUUUAUUUUCUGUUACUUUAAAAUUUGUUGCAAACAAAUAGGCAUACCUAGUGGGACAAAAUUUGCCCUUCAUCUCUUCUCUCACAAAUCAAAUCUGCAAAUCUAAAGUCACAAAAUCACAAAGAUAGAAAAAUAAGUACUUCAAGUCUCAUCUUUGAGUUCAUCAAGUCUACACUCUGACAAGUCUUGAAGCAACGGGCAUUUGUAGACAUUGAAAUUUUGUGGGACUCUACAAGAUGUGUUCAAUUCGAGUUGGGAUUCUACAAAGGUGUGUUCAAUUUUAAUUAGGAUUCUAGAAGGCUACUCGACCCUAAACCUUAGUUCAUGCCCAUACAAAAGGUACUAUAUUCCCUUAAAAGGCAUCUCGAAUAUUCUGCAAAUUCAUAGAAUCUUCAUAAAGAUCAAAUUUCAAUCAUCCUAAUUUGAGAAAUACGCCACUAACGGCCCUCGAAUCAUGGAUAAAUCUUAUGAGAGAGUAAUCAAGGGAUCAACAAAUUUGUACUCACAAUCUUGAUGAAUAAAAUUAUGUUUCUUCAUAUUUUCUUUGUGAAUGCAGUUUAUUUUCUAUCAUUUUAAAAUUUGUUGCAAACAAUAAUAUCACCAAAAUAUUAAUGAACUAACGCACAUGAAAUUGAGAAAAUCACCUAAUUCCUGUAAGAAGGCUCUUAAAUGUCCAAAAUAUGUGCAAAAAAUGUUGAGGAUUCACGUACUACUCCUCCAACUCCCUACAGAGGAUUUUGUAAGAGUUUUGUAAAAAAAUCACUCAGAAGCCAUAUCACCAAAAUAUUCCUGGGCAUUAACAUUCGAAAAAAUGAGAAAAUUGCCUAGUUUCUAUAAAAUGGAUCCUAAAUGCCCAAAAUAUGUGUAAAAAUUAGUGAUGAUUCACGUACUACUCCCCCAACUCCCUUUGGAGGGUUCCGUAAAGAUUUUGUGAAAAAAUUAUCUAGUAGUCAUGUCACCAAAAUAUUCAUAGGCUAACAUACACGAAAAAUUGAGAAAAUUGCCUAAUUCUUGUAAAAAUGGAUCCUAAAUGCCCAAAAUAUGUGGAAAAAAUGGUGAGGCUUCAACUCCUUGCCGAGGGCCUGUGCACCCCCGGGAUUAGUCGGGGCUCAAAGAGACUCGGACACCCGGUGCAAAUCAAAAAAAAAAAAAAAUGGUGAGGCUUCACCAACUGUUUCCCUAACUCCCUACGGAGGGUUUCAUAAAGGUUUUGUGAAAAAUCAUCAUAUCACCAAAAUAUUUAUGGGCUAACACAAAUGAAAAACUAAGGAAAUCGUCUAAUUCCUAUAAAAUGGCUCUCAAAUGUCGAAAAUAUGUGCAAAAAAUGGUGAGGCUUCCUGUACUGCUCCUCUAAUUUCACUUUUCACUGAUAAAUUUUAACAUUUUUUCAAGUAAAAUGCUUGUUCAAACACAACUUCAAAUCUCAAAAAAUCAUAAAUUUUACAACCUAAAAUUUCAAGUUUAAUUCAACGUCAAAAUCUAUGAUCAAACGAGAAUAAAAACUUGUUGACACUAACUAUUUUUGUAAUUACAUGAGGUUAUAAUGGGAAAGAGAUAAGUAUCAUUCCAUGACCCUCAAUAGUCGGUCGAAAAGAGAUGAAAUCAAGCCAUAGGGCCUAUAGUGAUUUGGGAGUCCCGUGUGGAAAGACCAUCACUCAAUGGAGCAAAGGUAGGCGCCUAGAAUGCCAUAUUGAUAACUCUUAAUAUCUCUUAUGGUUGACAUAGUUGUUAGACAAUUUGAUGUCGAUUCAUCACAUCUUUUAGGGUUGAAGAAAGUCCAACGGGUUAGGGUUGAAGAAGGUCCAAAUGUUCCGUUGUUCGCAGGUUCAAGUGAUAAUUAUAGGUUCACACUUGCCAAUGAACUCAAAAUUUAGAGUUUAUGGGUUCUAAACUUGCCAUCAAAUUUAUAGUCAUCAUAGUUAUGGGGUUCACAAUUAAAUAUUUAUACAUAUGUAAUAAAGUUCCUUGUACAAAUACGUGAUCUAAACAAAAGUAACUAAAUUCAUCCCAAUUAUAAAUAUCUCAGCAAUUAUUGAAGUAGUUGCAACAACUUCAAUUUUAUAUUCCAGCAAUUUUUUAAUGCAAUGCAUAACAAAAUCCAGAAUUUGAUGAAAUAACAAUAAAGUUAUGGGUGAAUGUAUCAAAUUUGAUCUGGAUCAGCUAGGAUACUUUUUUUUAGAUUUCUAUGAUAGUGAUAUCUUAUUAUAUAGUUCCAAAUAUUUAAGUAUUUACUUAAUAAUUAACACGUUUUUCAAAGCAAACCAUGAAAAUUGACAGUUGAUUGAGCACAUAGAUAUCAUAUAAUAUAUAGUACCAGAUACAACCCUCCCUCCGCAACUCACGUUGAUGCGCGAUCCAAAUUUAAUUUUGUAUAUAAUGAAGAUAACAGACAUCGAGUCAGAAAUUAGAAAAAUACAAUCAUGUAGUUAUCCAACGAGCAAUAACGCAUAACUCAUAAAACAAGCAACAAACUAUGUAUUUUAUAUUUUAAAAUUUUAAUACUUUUAAUAAACUUAUAUGAUUAAUUUAUAUAGUUUCAAGAAAUUCUUUAAAAAAAAAUCAAAAAAUGAUUUCUUUAAAGGGAAAAGUAGAGCCUUGAGGAAAAUUUGAGAAAAAUAAAAUAAAUCUUCUUUAACUCGGAAAAAUAAAAUGGAACAUUUUUUAAACUACCUAAUUUUCUUUUAAUAGACUUUCCCAAAAUUAUCUAAAUGGUUUUUUGUCUUCUUAAUUUUGAGAAAAAAGUUGGAUAAAGGAAGUUUUCGAUUUAUUGAGUUUUAUGGUAUGCAUUUGGUCAAUUAACUUGUUUAUCCAUUAAUUCGAAAUAUAUACGUAAUAUAGUGGCAAAAUCAAAUUUUUUAAUAACAAAAUUCAAUCGUUUGAUCUAAAGUAAGUCAAGAGGAUUCAAAGUAUAUAUACAAAUAAAUAAAAUAAAAAAUUUAGUGCAAUAUGAAUUUUCAACGCAAAGAAUUCAAUUAAACCCCUUUCAUUAAUUGUGGCUCCACUAUUGUACGUAAGAAUGCAUGCAAGUCCAUUCAUUGAACAUGUAGCCAUGUGCAGUCAUCGCUAUUUACGUAUUCGAUAAAAUUCAAUAAUCAAAACCCUUAAAUUAAUUUCAUAUUUAUGUUUUAAAAAAAAAGAAAUUUAAUGUGUAUAAAUAAUUUGUUGAAAAAAAAAAAAAGAUUUAACAUGUAUAAAUAAUUUAUUCAAAAUUCAAUAAGUUAAAAAAUCAAAAGGAAAAAUUGUGUGACGUAUAAUCUAACUCAACCCUAUAAUUAUAUUUAGAUUUAUGUGAAUACACUUAUUAUCCGCACCAAUAAAGAUAGAAUUAGAUAUUGCAUAUGCGUGGUUGAUACUGUAUAUUAUGCUACAAAGAUAUUACAAAAUAUUUAGCUAGUACUCACUCUGUCCAACAAUACUUGUCAACUAUUGACUUUACACGCUCCUGAAGAAACUACUAUCUUCGUCCACUUUUAAUUGUCACCGUUUUCAUUUUUAGAGUCAAACUAUAAAAACUUUGACUAUCAACGAUGUAUUUUUUCAUCAUAUUGAUAUGCAAAAAAUUGCAAUUUAUAGCACUUUUCGUACAGUUUUUGAAUAUCUAAUUUUUUUUGUUUUGAAUAUUGAAUUAAUAUAAUCUAAUUUAACUUUAAAAAUUAGUCAAAUUGACUUUCGAAAAACGCAACAUGACAAAUAAAAGUGGACGGAGGGAGUAUAAUAUAAGGGUAAUUUUACUAUAUCACCCUUUAUUAUAUAAUAAAUACGUACGAUGUCUUGAAAGAUGUAAUAGGGAAAUGAUUAUAAUUAAUGAUAAGGGUAAAUUAGGAACUAGUGAAAUUAUCCAUUGAUUUCAUAAAGUUGACAAGUAUUGUUGGACAUUCCAAAAUAGUAUAGUAGACAACUAUUGUUGGACGAAGGGAGUAUGAGCGAAUAUAAUGAUAUACUCGAUCUGUUCUAGAGAUAUUGUAUGUGUACGGAUACAUUAUUAUGUGCAAGGAUACAAUAUAUUUCACUUUUAUUAUACGAGCGAAUACAAUGUAUUUCGCUACGUUUUAAAACCAAAAUAUAUACUUCUAUGUGUCGUUAUUAAGCAAAAUCUAAGUGGAAAUAACACUAUUCAGUAAUUUUUUUCUUAAAAUAUUAUAAUUCAUAAACUAAAAUUUUUGACUCCGAUCGAAUAAAUCCUAUGUUUUGGCAAAAUGAAAAUUGUACACCACUAGCCGAAAAUCACGACUGAAAAAUAAAUUAAUAUGUGGCCUACUUCUUAAUUAUUUUAUUAAUUUAUUGCCUAUAUAUAUCUGCCUAUUUGCAAUAUCUUUAUUACUCAUAUAACCACAUUCUCGAUCAAUUCUUACAAAAAUAGCCACUAUGACAAAACUAGCCUCAAUUCUUUCUCUUUGCAUCAUUUUCACAACUUUCAUCUCUUGGGCAAUUAAUAUGCAUUAGAGGAAAAUGCAACGAUGACCCUGACGUUGGAACCAGUAUUUGCGGAGGAGGAGGAGGAAGUUCUCCUUCUCCUCCGUCUACUGGUUCAACGCCAGGUAUGCUAACUCUUAACGACUUUAGUGAAGGUGGAGACGGGGGUGGUCCAUCAGAAUGUGACGAGAAAUAUCAUGAUAACAACGAUAGAGUAGUCGCGUUGACUACUAGAUGGUACGAUAAUGGUUCAAGAUGUGGUAAAAUGAUACGUAUUCGGGCCGAUAAAAAUGGGAAGAGUGUAACGGCUAAGGUUGUGGAUGAAUGUGACAUAAAAGAUGGUUGUAAAAAUAAUGUAGUGGAUGGUUCAAUUGCUGUGUGGAGAGCUUUGGGAUUGAAUACUGAUGAGGGAAGAGUUCCUAUUACUUGGUCCAUGGCCUAGGAGAUAUAUCACUACCAAAAAAAUCCGAUAAAUUCUGUAGCUAAUCAACAGAAUUCAUCGUUGAUCCUAUUUAGAGAUCGAUACUUAAUAAAAAAAAAUUGUGACUCAUUGGUCCAUAUGGCCUAGGAGAUACUAUUAUUAUUACUCCUAUAUAUGUGGCUUAAGUGUACUUUAAUUUAUUAUGUGUGUUCUGUUGUAAUAGAAUAGAGUUUGAAUAAUUGUGUCAUCUUAAUAAAUAAAAUAUGUGAUAAGAUGGACAUGACUAGUGUACCUCAAGAAUUUGUUAUGAAAUAUUUCUAGUUAAUUUGUAUGGCUUGAUUCAGAGUAUGAGGUUAACUAAUGUGUGGUGUAAAUUUAGACAUAGAAUCGUCAAUAUAAAUCACAAUAGUUAACCAUUCAAAGUAUUUAUACAGUAUUUGAAAAAAUUAUAGUCAAACAAAUAUUAUUUGUCCACACAAUAACUAAGACAAAUAAAUUGAAACGAAUUGAAUAUCAUGUGUAAUUUCUAAUAAGCAAAGCAAUUUGUAUAUCCAUCCCAAUUUCUAAAUAUAGUUGAAUUGUGCGUAACUAUCUCAUCUAAAUUAUUGAAGACCACAUUUUUUACUUUAAUCUCAUAUUGUAUAUUGAUAUAUUCCUAUCUAGAUUUAUAUUUUUACUAACAGGUACAUUUACAAAUUAACCAAUAUUGUCACAAACAUAUUCUCAACAUGAUAAGGUUGGCAGCAAUUCAGAUAUGAUUUAACACAAGCUAGCCAAAUUUUUAAGAUAUAUACUAGUUUUAGUGUUAAAAAUUUAUAUGUAUCGAAUGUUUAUAUAUAUAAAUAAAUUAGAUCAAAUUCCUAACAAUAUGUGCCUUCAUAACAAAUCAGAUAAAAAUGUGUGAAAUCAAACUAUGAAAAUUGACAAUUGAAUUAACACAAGACUAUUCUAGAAUGUGGACUAUUAUUUUUUAAUUAGAAGAAUUAAUUAACAUAAAUAGUCUUCAUCAAAAUACUUUUUGAAAGAUUUAUAACUAAGUAUAGGGUCAUGGGUAAGUGGUGCUCAUCGGUGAUAUUUGUAACUUAAUAAUCCAUCAUAAAUAUGAGUAUGAAAAAUAUCUUGUGACAAAUGAGUAUUUUUAUUUAAUUAGUUAUAUAAUAAAAAUCAUCGACAAAUAUGUGAUAAUUAGCCGUCAUAUUCCAUCACAAAUCACGCUAUUAUAAUUUUGAUAAGACCCCUAAAAUGCUCGAUACUUUAAGAUGAGAAAAUCGAUCCUCCUUACUUGAUCCCAGACUUGUCUUUUUCUCUUUUUGUUUUGUUUGGAGGAAAAAAUCUAGAAAUAUAUCUAUCCAUUAAUUGAGUCAAUAAUGAAUUAGAGUACUAAUUAGCAGCCACUACCUAGGGUAAGAGUAAUAGGGGGGAAAAACUAGUACUAUUUUUUUAAAACUUUUUCAAGUGGAAGAAAAAAUAGGAAGAAAAAUAUUCUUAAAGAAUUAAUUAAUCGACUAUAAAAAAAGUUAUCCGUACUAAUAACUUUGCUCUCUCUAUAUUUUGGGUGAAUAUUUGGUCAAUGAACUUUUUUUUCAUUACUCUUAUUGAAACUCGAUUAAAUUUAAAUUUAUGCAUUACAUACUUCAUUUCUAAUAAAUAACGCUUGCAACAAAAAAAAAGUUCAUUUCCAAAAAAAAUAAACGUAUCCCCUCUAAUUAAAGGAGAAGAAAUUUUGAACCAUUAUAAUUCAAGGUAAAAAAAGUUCGAACCAUUCUACCACGACACUGUAUUAAUUAUUCGAUCAACUUGCUAGUCCAUCAAUUAAUCGUAAUGUCAGAAGCCGUGCAUCCAUGCAAGUCUAUGGAGGGUAUCCGAGUUAGCUUGCACACCUUAUUUUAUUUUAAGGGAUAUUUGUCAUUUUCCACAAAUCAUAUAACUUUUUUCAUUGAAAUUAGAACAGAUGAAAAGAAAUUAUUUACUUUAUGGUGAUCAAUUUAUUUCAUUGACAAUUUUUUUACAAGAAUUUUGAAUUAAACUAUUAUUCAUUGUUUAAACUUAUCUCGAAUUAGUUCAUUUCAACUCAAAUAAUUAAAUUUUAUUUUAAUAAAUAACAUAUUCAAAUUCAAAUCAAUUCGUACAUUUGUCACGUGCACAACUAUACUAGCCGAAAAUUACGACUCAUCACAAUAUCUUUUCUCCCUAUAUAUAUUCAUCCAUUUGGACAGUUUUCUUCACCCAUCAACACUUCCUUACACAUAUAACCUUUUCAAUCAUUACAAAAAUAGCCACAAUGUCCAAUCUAGCCUUUCUUUCACUAAUUUUCACCAUUUUCAUCUCCACUUCUAACGCCAUUUCUCAAUGUAACGGCCCUUGUAAAACAUGGGACGAUUGUGAUGGUCAAUUAAUUUGCAUAAACGGAAAAUGUAACGAUGAUCCUAACGUUGGAACCAAAAUUUGCAAAAGUAGCCCUCCUUCCGUCCCAUCUCCAACUCCAACCAAUACAUGUCGUCCGUCUGGCACAAUCAAUUGCAACGGUGUACACCCAAUAUACCGUUGCUCGCCACCUGUCACCUCCUCAACUCCCGCUCAACUUACCUUCAACGACUUCGGUGAAGGCGGAGACGGGGGUGGUCCAUCAUCAUGUGAUGGAAAAUAUCAUAACAAUAACGAAAGAAUAGUAGCAUUGUCCACCGGAUGGUUUGCAGGACGUUCGAGGUGUGGUAAAAUGAUACUAAUUCGCGCUAAUAACGGAAAGACCGUAACGGCUAAAGUGGUGGAUGAAUGUGAUUCUACUAUGGGUUGUGAUGCGGAACAUGCUUUUCAAAGUCCAUGCAAAAAUAACAUAGUGGAUGGUUCUAUUGCUGUGUGGAGAGCUUUAGGGUUAAAUACAGAUUUAGGUAUUGUUCCUGUCACUUGGUCCAUGGUUUAGGCCAACAUGGAGCGAUCGUUACAGUUAUGGAUUUGAUAGAAUUCAGUAACUUUAUAUGUCUCAAAUUAUAUGUAAUAAGAUGUACAUUAGAGUUUCUUAAAAAUAAUCAACUACGAUAUAAUUUCAACUAAUUAUAUUUUUCUUUCAUCUCAAUUUAUGUUGUGAAGCUUGACUUCUUCGUUUUUUAAUAUCAUGGCAUCACCCCCUUUGAAUUUGCGAAACUACUUCCUCCGAUUGAUAACCUAAGGAAGUCAACAUAUCCGCAACAUGAUUUGUUCCCGUUAAAUAGUUCUUGAUGAAAAGACUCUUGUCUUCGACCAUCUAUUUAAUCUCUUUACUUUAUUUCAAUUUGUUUGACUAGUCGCUGAGUUUAUAAAAGAAAUAAAUUCACUUGAAAUUUGUGGACUUAAACAAAGCAUAGAUAUUUUUGUGGUUAUAGAUAAUCUUAUUAAGAAUAAAGUGAAAAGUUUAAAAUUAUAUUAGUAUUAAAUAUGAAAAUGAUCAAACAUUUGGAGGGGGGGAGGGAGGGGGGACAAAUUUAUAAAAAGGAAAAUAUAAUGUCAUUUAAAUUAGAAGGGUGAUAUAGGGGAUUGAAUGAAUUAUGUUAAUCACAUAAUUGUAAUUCUUUUUUGUACUAAUUAAUUAUGAGUAUAGGUGAUAUAGGAGCUUUGAAUCCUUUCAAAUAUCUUCCUCAGAUUAUUAUGUACUUUUGAGUUAAGAUAAAUAAAACGCAGAAAGAUUGCUUGAAAAAAAAAGGUUAGGUGAUAUAGCUCUGAUUUUAACAUUCCGCUGCUUUAAUUUUAUUUUUAUUCUAAUAAAAUCAGAAAAAAUAUUUAUUUUUCUUUUUUAUUAUAAAUUUCAAAAGUCUUUAUGUCUAGCACCAAUUAUAGAAAGUCUGAAAAUUGCAAAAAUGCAAAAAAGGAGGACGGAGUGCAAGGUCAUAUUGUACUAUCAAAAAAUGGUAUAAUAUUGAAAUGUGUUCUUUAACUUGAUAUUAACUGAUAUUUAUGCAUUUUAAUUUUGAAUGUGCAAGGUACAUAAAUUUAUAUAGAAUUGAACAAUUAGACACAUAUGUCUAACGUGACGCCUUACGUGUAUUAUACCAUAUAAGACACAUGUAUUACGCCACGCAAAAAAUAUUUGCAGUAUACACUUAUUUUCUAGUUGUAAUACAAUGAAUAUGCACCAGUAACUAUUUCAAAUUGAUACAUCCGAAGUACUAUAUAGCUGGAUAUUUUUGACAGAUUGAAACUCAUAAGAAAAACACGAUAAAUGAUUUGAGACGAAGAGAUCAGUAUUUUCUCCUAAAUAAGACUCCCAUACCCUUUCUCUAAGAAUAAAGAUUAACCAGAUAUAAAAUAUUUAUAUUUAUCUUAUUGUUAAAGUAAACCCAAUUAUAAUAAGUAUGUUGUCGUUUUUUCCAAAACAAUAAAACACCCAAUUAUGAUUUAGAAAUUAGGACAAACACCCAAUAAUAUGUGAGUUUCUUAACAAAUCAAUUAUAUUCAAAUCAAACUAUGAAAAUUGACAAUUAAAUUUGCAAGACAUGGAUUGGUUUAAAACGUGGACGACGGUUGUGUAUCGGUCGGUUCGGUUCGAUUUAUCGAUUCAGUUUUUCGAUUUUCAGAUUUUAAAUAUGCUAAAUCGAUAACCAAAUCAAUAAGAUAUUUGUUAUAGGUUUUCGAUUUAUCGAUUUUGAUCUUUAACGGUUCGGUUUUCGGUUUAACCAAUAAGAAAAUGCUUCCAAAAUAAAUAUAUGACUUGUCCAACAAUUUAACGCGAAAUAAAAAGAGAAAAAUCUAAUUACUCAUUGAGUGCAAAAAUUCUUCUUAGUGUAGUAAAAGUAUAGCAAAUACUCAUAAUUCACAACCCUAGUCAUUGCCUAACCCUUGCCACCGUCGUUGCAAACCCUAGACAGCGUCGUUCUUAGUUCUUUAGGUUUUUGACGUUGUGAACCUAAAGACUAAAGUAAUACUAAAACCUAAAGGGUAAAUGCAGAGAGCAAGUUAAUUAAGUAAUGUUAAUUGUGUAGGGUCCUUAAAGUUAUAUUAUAAUAUAGUGAUUAUACUAAUAUUGUUUGUUUGAUAUUUAUGUAUGACUAAAAAUUAAAAUAGUAAAUUAUUAUAUUCUUAAUGGGUUAUCGGUUAACUCAAUAACCCAAUAUAAAAACCAAUAUCAAACCGAUAACCCAAUAAUUUUAUUUUAUAAAACCAUUAAAUAACUAUUAACCCAAUAACCAAUAACACUUUUUUCGGUUCGAUUUAUCGGUCGAUUCGGUUUUGCACACGGACGACGGUCAUGUUGUAUUUUUUUAUAAGAGAAAAGAUCUAGAAAUAUAUAUAUAUAUAUAUAUAUAUAUAUAUAUAUAUAUAUAUAUUGAGUCAAAAAUGAAUAUAUUAAUUAAAUAGCAGCCAUGACCUAGGAACUAAAGAGUACUAGGAAUAGCAUACAUAUCUCUCUAUGGUCAAAAAAUUUCCCUCUCUUACUUCUUUUUUUCAAGGUUUAGGGUGGGGGGGAGAGAAAAAUAUUGUUAGUGAAGUAAUUAAUCGAUUGUACAAAAUUUAUUAGUAUUGGACUAAAUUAGAAUUCACGUGUUAUAGAGUUUAUUUUCUGAAAAUAACGCUUCUAACAAAAAAAAUCAUUUCCAAAAAAAUGGUUUCGACCCUUCUAAUUAAAGGUAAUUUCAAACCAUCCUACCGUAAUUCAGAUUGAUUAAUUAAUCAAUCCAAUUGCUAAUCCAUCUAUUAGUCCUAAUAAUAUCAGAAGCCGUGCAACCAUGCAAGUCCUUGCAUUAAAUAGCCAAAGAAAGUCUAAUUUUGCUUAUACAAAAUUUGGAAAGAUUUUUAUACGUAGAUAUAAUCGUGGUAUUCGUGUCGGCUUGUGUGCACCUCGACUAAAUUCUACGGAAUAUAUGUCACUUUCCACGAGUAACACAUACCAGAUAACUUUUUCCACCAAAGUUAAAACAAAUAUAAAGAAAUUGCUUAGCGUUUUGCCUAUAUUAAAAUUUAAACCUGAGAUAUCAUGAUGCUCGAUUAACCCACUUCAUUAAAGAAUUUUCUUUUUACAAAAGUAAAAGAACAAGUCAUACUAUUAUUCAUUGUUUAACUUAUCCCAAUUCAGUUCAUUUCUCCCUAUAUAUAUUCAUCCAUUUAGACACUUUUCUUCACCCAUCAACACUUUCUUACACAUAUAACCUUUUCAAUCAUUACAAAAAUAGCCACAAUGUCCAAUCUAGCCUUUCUUUCACUAAUUUUCACCAUUUUCAUCUACACUUCUAACGCCAUUUCUCAAUGUAACGGCCCUUGUAAAACUUGGGACUAUUGCGAUGGUCAAUUAAUUUGCAUAAACGAAAAAUAUAACGAUGAUCCCAACGUUGGAACCAAAAUUUGCAAAAGUAGCCCUCCUUCUGUCCCUUCUCCAACUCCAACCAAUACAUGUCGUCCGUCUGGCACUGUCAAUUGCAACGGUGUACACCCAAUAUACCGUUGCUCGCCACCUGUCACCUCAUCAAUGCCCGCUCAACUUACCUUCAACGACUUCAGUAGAGGUGGAGACUGUCACGCCCCGAGCCUACACCCUGGACAUGGCUGACACUAGAAGACCAUUGUUGGCCCCAAGCGAACCCUUGGCCUGGCUUACCUACCUCAGACGAAGACAAUAUUCAUACUUAUAAUGAUCAAUAACACUUAACUAAACUGAAUAAUAAAAUAACUGAGAAUGUUUAAAGGUUAAACAUUCAACUUGGCCAAAAGUGGCAACCCAAGUCUUAACAAUAAGAAAUGAUAAUGAAAAGACUCAAAGGACUAACAUCUGAUUGUCUAUGAAGCCUCUAAAACAACUGAGAUGGAUGUUGGGACAACCCCACAACAUCCUAAUGAACUAACUAGAAAGCAAUGAAAAUAGAUCCUCCGGAAUGCAAGGAAGCUCACCGACUGACUCUGAACUGCUCACUGGAUCAACGGUGCGCUGGAAUGCCGAUCCUAGUUAAUUACAUGUAUCUGCAUCAUAAGUCUAGUUGGAAUGCUAAAACAACAUAGGCUUGAAAGGGAACCUGCUGAAAGAAACACUUACCUUGGCUCUUCUCAACUCAUGAAUACCUAACUGAUCUCAUUUCAAUAUAAACCAGUUUAAAACAAGUGCAAUAUAAAGAAAAGUUGUUUAAAAACAUGAUGUCAACUCUGUGUAUAUACAAGGAUACAACAUAACUCUGAAAUGUAUGUAAAAAUACAAUAAACUGAUGUAUAUAAAAAUACAAUAAAAUUGAUGUAUGUGGGAGUUUCUCUAACCGACAACCAUCACAUAAGAGCUAUAGUGAUGAUACAGCGAUCUACCUCACGCUGCCAGCGCAUCCUAUACCCGGCCAAAGGUACUAGGACCUAAACUACUAAGUGGAUCCACUAGUCUAUUGUGAAAAGGGUUCAUCUAAAAAGUAUGACCCUUUUCUACCCAUGGUGGCUACAUGGUUUUAUGGAGACGUGAGUUAUCUGAACUCAUGCUCACCCCCAAUUCAGUGCUCAAUACUACUCCCAAAAUAUACUAGCUCUUAUGUUUUUUUUUUAAAAAACAUACUUCUUCUGUGAUUUGAGAUUAGUGCUCAGAAACUUAGCUCAAAGGCUAUCUUGGAAAUCAAGUUUCCCCUCUUGCUUCAUUUAGAAAGCGAUUACUCUUUUCUGAAAACUAGCCCGAAGGCUCUUUGGAAAUCUCAGUUUCCGUUCUUAUUUAAAUGUGAAAACAUUUUAAAUCUCUUUAAGAAUACUUAGUCCCCAUAUACUUUUGAAGUAAUGAACUUCAAACUUUUACUCUUUACUAAACUUGAUCUUUAAGUCUUAAAACAAAGUUAAAAGCAUUUGCAAAAGACUUCUUGAAAAGACUCGAAGAACUUCCUAGACUUUGGCUCUUGACUUUCCUUGAAUUUGAAUUUAUGGAUUCAAGGUUAUGAUUAAUGUUUAUGGAUGAUUUCUAGGUGUUUAGAAGUCAUUUAGAGUAGUUAGAAUCAAUGGAAGAUGUUAGGACACUUUAGAAUAACAUAAAUAGGCCAAACGAUGAAAAACAGGUGAAAACGCCGAUCCAGGCGCGUCCCUGGAGCACCGCGACAGGCCCCAAUUUACUGGGGCUCAUUUUGGGCGCACUACGGGCGCACUGCCCCAGCCUCCUGGAGCUAUGGGGGCGCGACACACCUGGCCCUCCCCAGGUGCGUCUGACGAGUUUUUCAACUCGUUUUCUGAUCCUAAAUCAUUUUAAAUCGAUUUCUUUUCUCAAUAGUUUCUUUGAUCCAGAUACCCAACACAUGUACACUAGAAUCUAACUCGAAACAACUCUUAACAUCGCUAAAACGUCUCAAGGAAACCCAUCAAUCACAUGUAAGUUCAAGAAAGAAAACAAUUCAAGAACACAACUCAAGAACAUCAAAUUCUAACUCUUUUAGGAAGAAAAUCACUGAAUUAAACAUGCUUGGUGCAUGGGUGAACUAACCCAACGCUAUGUGAUCUCGCAUACCUUGUAGGGAUCACCCCCGACAAAAUCCACAAGCUAAUCUUGAACGAAUCUUGAACGUUCUUGCUUCCCCUUCUCCUUUCUCUUUUCUCCAAGCCCUAGCGUGAAAUUCACUUUUCUAAAAUGGACUAAAAUCUGAUUUGACCCAUAUUAAACUCCUAAAAACAGAUUAAAAUAAUAGUGCAAGAAAAAGACUAAAAUACCCCUUAAAAAUCCGGAUUGGACAUUUCCUUAUUUGAACAGCCCAACUUCCGAAGGGGAUAACUUGCUCAUACGAACUCGAAAUCACUCAAACUUGGCGGCGUUGGAAAGAUCAUUCCAAGGGAUUUCCAACCAUAUCUGGAAUCACACCUAACUCAUCCUGAGCUAGGAAUUAUGGCUGUUUGAAGUUGACCAAAAACUCACUUUAACACCUUUACCAAAUUUCCAAAUUUUUAAAUUCUUCCCAAAAAUAACUAUUUCCAGAUUUUAAACUUCAUUCUAGUUCUUUCUAGUUGCGAGAUGUUACAGAGACGGGGGUGGUCCAUCAUCAUGUGAUGGGAAAUAUCAUAACAAUAAUGAAAGAAUAGUAGCAUUGUCCACUAGAUGGUUCGGCGGACGUUCGAGGUGUGGUAAAAUGAUAUUAAUUCGUGCUAAUAAUGGAAAGACCGUAACGGCUAAAGUGGUGGAUGAAUGUGAUUCUACUAUGGGUUGUGAUGCGGAACAUGCUUUUCAAAGUCCAUGCAAAAAUAACAUAGUGGAUGGUUCUAUUACUGUGUGGAGAGCUUUAGGGUUGGAUACAGAUUUGGGUAUUGUCCCUGUCACUUGGUCCAUGGUUUAGGUCAACAUGGAGCGAUCGUUACAAUUAUGGAUUCGAUAGAAUUCAGUAACUUUAUAUAGCUCAAAUUAUAUACUUAUUGAACAAGCGUGUCAUCUUACAUGUAAUAAGAUGUGCAUUAGCGUUCUUUAAAAAUAAUCAACUACGGUAUAAUUUCAUACUAAUAAUAUUCUUCUUUCAUCUCAAUUUAUGUUGUGAUGUUUGACCUUCUUUUUUUUUAAUAUCAUGGCAUCACCCCUUUGAAUUUGCGAAACUACUUCCUCUGGUUGAAUACAAAUUAUGAAUUUGAUAAAAUUCAGUAACUUUAUAGCAUAAUUGAAUAGGCAUAUCAUCUUACAUGUAAUAAGAUGUACAUUGGAGUCACUUAAAAAUAAUAAAUUACGAUAUAAUUCCUAACUAAUAGUAAUGUUUAUGUGGUGAUCAUGUUUGACUUUUUUUUUAAUAUCAUGUCACGAUUUUAUUACCCCUUGGAAUUUGCAAAAUUACUUCCUCUAAUUUUUAGCAUAAGGAAGUCAUCAUAAAAUAAGAAGUUUAUAAUUAAAUUAGUAUUUUUUUUUUAAAUAUAGAAAUGUGAUAUUUUAAGGGGACAAUUUUAUAAAAAUAAAAAUAUAAUAUAAUAAGUCAUAUAAAUUAGAAGGGUAGAGUACUAAUUAAUUAUGAGUAUAAUAUAUUGGGGUUGCAAGAAUUAUGUUAAUCACUUAAUUGUUAUUCUGUUUUAAAUCGUUAUCAAAAUGGGUAAGUGCUUCCUAUGGGAAAUAUUUGUAACUUAAUUAUCCAUCAUAAAAUCAUCGAUAAAUACGUGAUAAAUAUAUAUAUCCAUCAUAUUCUAUCAUUAAUCUUUCUAUUGUGAUUGUUUCGACCAUUAAAAUGGUUGAUAUUUUAAGAUGGUGAAAUUAAUCCUCCUUACUUAUUCCUGGAUUCUUAUUUUAUCCCUUUGUUUAUUCACUUAUUUAUGUAAUAGACUUGUUUUUUUUAUCUUUUUAUAGUUUGGUGGAAAAUAUUUAGAAAUAUAUUUAUCCAUUAUUGAGUCAAAAAUGAAUAUAUUAAUUAAUUAGUAGCCACUGCCUAGGAAAAGAGUACUACUCUCUAUGGUCUACUUUUAUCCCUUAUUACUAGGGGUGUGCACAAUUCGGAUUAAACCGAAUAACCAAAACAAAUUAAAUCGAAUUUUUAUUUGGAUUGGUUUUUGGUUUUUCGAAUUGAUUUUGGAUUAAUAAAUUACUUUGUUUGGUUUUUUGGUUUGGUUUUGGAUUUUAAAAAAUAAAAAUCGAAAAAUCGAAAAAAAAACGAAUUAUAUGUAUGUGUGUGUGUAUAUAUAUAUAUAUAUAAAUGUUUAUGUUUAGAAUUAAGUUGGAGUUAACCACUUUUGUCCCUUUUUGGUUAUUGCAUUUCAUCAUGAUUACGUUUAUAUUUUAUAUUUGAACAUCUAUAAUAGGUAUAAUUAUAAGUAUUGUGUUUUAAGUUUUACUUAUGAUUUAUAUUAUAAAGUAUAUUUAAUUAAGAGAAUCAAUAUUAUUACUUUGGUUAUGUUAUUAAUUAUUGACAUAACCGAAUAACCACACCGAAAAAAAGCCGAACCGAAUAAAGGAAAACCAAACCAAACCAAAUUUAUUUUGGAUCGGAUUGGAUUACACUUUUACAAAU